AAAUCUCUGGACAAAAUGGGUUGUUUCAAUUGCUUUGCUUUGGGAUUCUUCGUGGCUCUGUCGCUUGCAAGCAUUGAUGUCGGGGUUGCAGCUCGUCACCUUCAGCAACUGCCUCCAAUGCCAACAUUGCCUACAACCACACUCCCACCAUUCCCAUCUAUCCCUAAUCUCCCACAGCCAUCCAUACCAUCUUUCCCAAGGCCUGGGGCGCUUCCUCCACUUCCUACCAUGCCUGCUUUGCCCACAUUGCCUAGUGUACCAAGGGCCACAUUGCCCCCUCUACCAAGCAUGCCUUCAAUUCCCACAAUCCCAACUACAAUUCCCUCUAUUCCAUUCUUCUCUCCACCACCUUCUCCUUCUAGUCCUUAAAAAUCCCUUUCGCUAGGUGAUGGGUGGCUAUUCCAACCCAGAGUCUUAUUUUUUGGUCCACCACUUAUAUUGCUUUGUAUAAAUGGGAGUUUCCCCAAUUCCCAUGAUUUUCUGUACUUUGAUAGUUAUUUUGCUUAUUAUUGGAUUAUAUACUUACUUUUUAUAUAUAUAAUGUUUUCAUUAACUAAUUAACACUACACUAAAACAGGCUUUUAGCGGCAUUUUUAGUGGCGUUUAGACAAAAAACACCGCUAAAAAUCGAGCAUUAGCGGCGCUCAACAUAAAACGCCGCCAAAGAUCGAGAUGAGGAAAAAACGCCGCAAAAAACCUAAGCCCAACGACACCGUUUUCUGACCUUUUGGGGCUUUAGUGGCGUUUUCUCAAAAGUGCCGCUAAUGCUCUAGCUUUUAGCGGCGUUUUUAAUAAAGCGUCGCUAAUGCACAGAGCUUUAGCGGCGUUUUUAGGAAUGCGCCGCUAAUGCUCAGACCUUUAGUGGUGUUUUUGAAAAAGCGCCGCUAAUGCUCAGACCUUUAGCGGAGUUUUCGAAAAAGCGCCGCUAAUGCUCAGGGCUUUAGCGGCGCUUUUCAAAAAGCGCCGCAAAAACAUUUUACAUGUCUAUUUACUAUUUAAUUUGUUUAUUUAUAUUAAUUAAAAUUCAAUUUAUUUUUAAUUAAAUAUUUUUUAAAAAUGGAUCAAUUUAAAAUAAUAACACGUAGAAAUAAUUUGAAAUAAAAAACAUAAAAAAUAUUUGUUAAAAAUGGAAAAAUUAAAAUACUAUUAUUUAAAAUAAUUUUAAAAUUUUUUGGGUACAUGACUGAUUGGUUUUUAAUUUAUAUAUUAAAUAAUUUCAUAUAUAAUUGUAAAAGAUACGAUAGUAUUAAUUUUAAAAUAUUUAAUUAAUUAUCAUUAUAGUUUAGGGUUUAAUAUAUAUGGUUUAAGGUAUAUGGUUAAUUUAGGAUUUAAGGCCGGUUUAGGAGUUACAAUUUUAAGGUUUAUAGAUUAUGGAAUUAGGGACUAUGGAUUAGGAAUUUUGGUUUAAGGGUUGUGAUUUAGGGGUGAAGGGUUAAGGGUUAGAGAUUAAGAGUUAGGGAUUUAAGGUUUAUGGAUUCGGUGUCAGGUUAGGGUUUAAGGUUUAGAUUAAUUAGUGUGUUUUAAUUUAUAUUAAAUAAGGUUUAAAGGUUAGGGGUUAGGGAUUUGGGUUAGGGUUAGAGUUUAGGAUUUAGAUUAAUUAGUGUUUUUUAAUUUAUAUAUUAAAUAAGGUUUAGGGCUUAAUAGUCAGGGGUUAGGGGUUAGAAGUUAAAAGUUAGUGAUUUAGGGUUUAGAGAUUUAGGGUUGGGUUAGAGUUUAAGGUUUAGAUUAAUUAGUAUUUUUUAAUUUAUAUAUUAAUUAAGUUCUUANNNNNNNNNNNNNNNNNNNNNNNNNNNNNNNNNNNNNNNNNNNNNNNNNNNNNNNNNNNNNNNNNNNNNNNNNNNNNNNNNNNNNNNNNNNNNNNNNNNNNNNNNNNNNNNNNNNNNNNNNUUUUUAAUUUAUAUAUUAAAUAAUUUCUUAUAUAAUUGUAAAAGAGAUAAUAUUAAUUUUAAUAUAUUAAAAUUAUUAUUAUAGUUUAAAUUAUUUAAGAGAUAAUAGAUCAAUUUUAUAUAUAUUAAAUGGUUUAGGAUUUAAGGUUUACUUUAGAUUUGUUUUAUUAUAGACCAAUUUUAUUAUAGUUUAAAUUAUUAAAUAGUUUAAAUUAUUAAAAUAUACUAUAUUUAUUUUGAGAGUACUUGAUUUUUUUAAUAAAAAUCCAGUUUAUAAAAAAUAGUUAUAAAAAAUAUUUUAUAAAAUCACAUAACUAAUAAUUUUUAGCAAAUAAAAUAAAAAAUUUUUAACAGAGCAAAACGACGUCGUAUUGAUCAAGAUAAAAUAAAUUUUUUUGUGGCGUUUUUAUAAAAAAUGGCGCAAAAAAAACAUUUUACUUCAAAAAAAAUGGCGCCUGUUUAUCCCUAAAUUCCCCCCUGAAGCCCCUAAUUUUCCCCCUAAAAAUAAUCACCUCAGCACACUAUUACUCCCUCAGCUCUGCGCGAAAUCCUAAAGCAAUGCCUCCCAAAGUAGCUAAAUCCCUAGAAACAACGAACUCGCCUUCAACCUUCUUCUUCAAACCAGGUCCCCCUCUCUCUCUUGCUCUCUCUUUGCUUUUUUGCCUGAUUUUUUUUGUUUUUUUCUUAGAUGAGUCCCUGGAUGGUUGGAGUCUUAUUGUUUCAACAAGGCAAGUGGGUGUUCCAGAUCCAUCAUUGAAGCUGGAAAUACAUAUUUCCAGGAUUUUAGGCAGUUUUUCUUGGUUGUUUUAUGGGCUUAAAUCGAAGUCGUUUAAGAUCUUCUGCUCCGUUUCACUCCAAGCCUUUGUUUCGUAGACAUCUUCAAUCCAUGAAGUAAGUUCCUUUUUCCAAAUCUCUGUCCUUUUUCUGUUUUCCUGAUUUUUGAGGCACUUAUUGUUUGAUUAUUUGUUGAUUAUGGGAUCUGGGUACUCGGAUAUCUAUAGCAAAGUCAAUUUAAGCUGCCUGUUAUUUGAUUAGGUUGUUGGUUAUGCUAGCUUGAGUUGUGAAUCUGGUGAACAAAGAACUUGCAUAAAAUCUCUUUAGUUUCUUUCUUUUUAAAAAUCAUUAACUAUAACUUUACUAGUAAGAAAUGAGAAAUAUCAAACCCACCACUUCUCAAUAUCCGAGCAUUUAACUUUACUAGAAUACCUUGUGCUCUUGGCAACAUUUGGCUGCCCCUACAUUUCUUAAAAUUUUUUCUAAUUCAAAUUCAUAUUUACUGUUUUUUGAACAAAAAUUAAUAAUAAUUUUGUUUUGUCAUUUCUUCUAAUAUUAAUAACUAGCUACUUAUACUAUAUUAGAGAAUCAAAUAUUCACCGAGUCAAUGGAGUAUAUAAUUUAAAUAAAUUAUCCUUGAGAUAGUACCGAACCAGUUUUCCUCUUUGAAAUUGCUUUAACUAGUGAAAUGCUUCGGUAGUUUGCUAUCUUUGUGGUGGAAAUUGUUGAUGUCUAUUUUGGACUUUGGAGCUAUAAUUUCAUUUUUUUUAUAUGCAAUUUUAUUUUAUUUUCUUUAUACAGGAUGAGAACCNNNNNNNNNNNNNNNNNNNNNNNNNNNNNNNNNNNNNNNNNNNNNNNNNNNNNNNNNNNNNNNNNNNNNNNNNNNNNNNNNNNNNNNNNNNNNNNNNNNNNNNNNNNNNNNNNNNNNNNNNNNNNNNNNNNNNNNNNNNNNNNNNNNNNNNNNNNNNNNNNNNNNNNNNNNNNNNNNNNNNNNNNNNNNNNNNNNNNNNNNNNNNNNNNNNNNNNNNNNNNNNNNNNNNNNNNNNNNNNNNNNNNNNNNNNNNNNNNNNNNNNNNNNNNNNNNNNNNNNNNNNNNNNNNNNNNNNNNNNNNNNNNNNNNNNNNNNNNNNNNNNNNNNNNNNNNNNNNNNNNNNNNNNNNNNNNNNNNNNNNNNNNNNNNNNNNNNNNNNNNNNNNNNNNNNNNNNNNNNNNNNNNNNNNNNNNNNNNNNNNNNNNNNNNNNNNNNNNNNNNNNNNNNNNNNNNNNNNNNNNNNNNNNNNNNNNNNNNNNNNNNNNNNNNNNNNNNNNNNNNNNNNNNNNNUAAAGUGCUUGCUGGACGAAAUGUGGUGAUUAAUUGAAUUGCAAGGUCAUACAUGCUGUUAAUUUUUUAAGAGCUGAUAAAUGAGUAUGACAUAGUGCUCAUAAAUGUUCUAAGGAUGUCUUUAGAUGAAUGAAAUUGUUUGAUAGUUUGAAGUUAUAAAUCUUUGUAUUGAUUUUUCUCAACAAUCUGAAGCCUGUUAUACUUAGCAAAUUUUUCUAUGAGAAUGGGUGUUUAACAGUUGUGAUUUGGCUUGAAAUAUAUGCGGUUGAGAUGGUUGAUAUAUUAUCAAGCAUGCAAUAUAUAUCACUGUCGUGACAAGUUUUUAUAGGAUAUAUUUGAAAUGGGUACGAAUUUAUAUCCUUGUUACAGGGAAAUAUAUAUUUAGUGUAUUGUAUUGUUUUAUUUAUUUACAUUUUUUUCUUUUUUCUUUCAAACUCUAAAUUAUUUAUUAUUCAUAUUAGUAUUAUUAUCAUUAUUAUUAUAUUUCUACUUAUAUUUAUUUAUUUAAAUUUUAAAUAUAUUUGUCUUAUUAUAUAUUGAUAUUAUUAUUUGCUUAUUUAUAUCUUUUUUAUUUCAAACUUUGUUAUAUAUAUAUACAUAGAUUUUUUUUAUUUUUAUAAUUUUAUUUAUUUUCGUUAUUGUUUGUCUUAUUUGAUAUUUAUUUAUUUAUUUAUGUGUUCAUUAUUAUUUUGAAAAAUGUUUUAGUCCUAUUUGUUUAUUUACUUAUUAUUUCAUGUAUAAUUGAUUUGUCCUUUUUAUUUAUCUUAUUUUUUGUUGUUGUUGCUCGUAUUAUUUAUGCUUACAUCAUCGUAUUCAUUUUUAUUUUGUUACGCAUAUUAACACCGUGUUUCAUUUCUACUAUUUCGCGUUAGAUUAAUUUUAUUCAAUGCAUAAAUUAUGAUUUUUGAAUAAGCAAAAUCUCGUGUUUAGAUUCGAGAAGGUCGUACCCUAACUUAUGGGUUUUCGAUUUUCACAAUAAAUCUAAAUACACGAAUCUUUUCAAACUUAAGUUUUUAAACGAUCUUUGGAAUUAACAAAAGAUCGUGUCCUAACUUACGGGGCAUGAUCCCUUUUCUAAAUCCGAGAUAGUUAAAUAUUUUUUAAAUAAGUAAUUUUUUGGCAUUUAUUCGCGCAGCGGGAAUUCAAGACAUUGUGUCCUAACUUACGGGAUAUAAUUCUCUUUCUCGAUUAACGUGAAAUAUGCCAUUUUCUCAAAAAUUUUCAACAUUUCAAUAAAUUAUUGUAUUUUAAAUCUCUUCAAAAUUUUCAAUUUUCGACACUAAAGACACUAAAUAAUCAACUAGGUACUAAUUUUGGGUGUUACGAGGGUGCUAACCAUUCCUCGUACGUAACCGACUCUCGAACCCGCCUUUCUGAAUUUCGUGGACCAAAAUCGUUGUUUUAAUAAAAUCAAAUUGUUUAUUAAAAGCAACCACUUUUCAAGGUGACCAGAUCACACCUCAUCAAAAAAGAUUGGUGGCGACUCCCGUGUUUGUUUUCAUUUUCAAAAUUAAAGUCGACCCCGUUUUCACAAAAAAAAUAGUUUCGAUGCAUACUUUUAUCGAAGAUCUAAUUCCGUAAGUAUAAAUAGGUUUAUAUAAAUAUUUUCUUAAAUCAAAUUGAUGAUCGAACCGAUUAGACCACCAUUUCAGUCAAUCUGACCGAUUCAACCGGUCCAAUUAAAAAUUGAUUAAAAAUUAAAAAUAAAAUUUUUUAAACUCCGAUUCGAUCAAUUUUUUAACUAGUUCAAUUAUUUCAUACCCAUUCCCAAUCUAAUCGGUUCAAAGUCGCUCUCUGGAUUGAUCUCUUGAUCAAUUCCCAAUCCAAUCGACCAGUCUAGUUCAAACAACACUGGUCUAUACCAACAUCUUACUUAUCUGUUAAUAUAUGAUGAGCGUAUAUUAGUACAUUUUGUUAGUGUUGGUGUAAAAGUAUCUAUAAUGACAAAUUAAAUUUAAUAAAUGAGUAAAAUUUUUGGAAGAAACAAGUUAACAAUUUAUUUUACUUUUGAGAUAUAAAUUAAAAAAUUAAAUAAAAUCAAGUAUAUAUAAAAAUUAAAUUUGAUCUGAGACGAAAAAAAACUCUCUAAUAAGUGUGUUUCAAAGUUUUAAUAUAUUAUCUUAUUUGUUGUUUCGAACUAAUAUUAUUUUGGUUUAAGUGAGUUUUAAAAAAACUCUCUAAUAAGUGUGUUUCAAAGUUUUAACUUGUGUUUUCAAUUACUACAACUUCAAUUGGGAGUUCUAACUUUUCUAAUUUUUUUUUUUUUUUUUUUGCAAUGGUAAGUUUAACAAGAAGCUAAACAUGCCAAUUUUGACUUUGAUCCUAUUUGAUUUCACCAUAAAAGGUUAACAAUUUUAACUUCUUCAACUUAAAUUUCAAUUGGUUUGAAUUUAAAAUAAUUUUGAAAUAAUUUAAUUUUAAAUAAUCUAAAUUUAAAAUGAUUACACCUCGAAAUAAAUAGAACAAGUAACAUAGAAUAACCUAAACUUGAAGUAACCAUAACUCAAAACAAUCUAGACCUAUAAUGACUUAACUAAAAAAUUAAACCUCUCACUGAAAUGACUUAAAGCAAACCAAGCUUGAAAUUGACCCAAACCCGAAACAACUUGAAAAUUUUAAAAUCUUAAUUAACUUGAUUUAAAUUAACCUGAUCCCAAACCAAAUAAAUAUGCACAACUAAAAGGUGAUCUAGAAUGUCGGAAAAGUUAAAUCAUGUAAUCAUCUUUUAAAAUGUUUGACAUAGUUAAGUAAACGACCCUAUGUCGGGCUACAUAACAGGCAAUUGGCUGAAACAUUGGUAAGCUGGAGGAUUAAUUUGAUCAGCUAACUUAAGGCGCUAACUUAUUAAUUUAAUUAAGAGGUUAACUUAUUACAUGAGGUCGCUUCCAUGCCAACCACAACAACUGCAUUUCACCAGUUUUAAACUCCAAUAUCCAUUAGAAGAUGACCUACCAAAUAUCUUUAAUAUUGACCAAGCUUUCUCCUUUCUCAACCAUGUAUGAUCAAAUAUCACCAACUCCAGUGGCCUAUUCCCACUGCUCCAAGACCCUAUAUAAACCCCUUACACCAUGCUUUCUCUUCCUCACUCAAAACUAGCUAUUAAGAUAAAAAGACUUUGUUUCAUCUGCUUAACAGAAAUGGCAUCUUUCAAUUGCUUUGCUUUGGCAUUCUUCGUGGCUUUGUCGUUUUCAAGCAUUGACGUUGGCCUAGCAGCUCGUCACCUUCAGCAACUGCCUCCGAUGCCAACAUUGCCUACAACCACACUCCCACCAUUCCCAUCUAUCCCUAAUCUCCCACAGCCAUCCAUACCAUCUUUCCCAAGGCCCGGGGCACUUCCUCCACUUCCUACCAUGCCUGGGUUGCCCACAUUGCCAAGUGUACCCAGGGCCACACUGCCUCCUCUGCCAAGCAUACCCUCAAUCCCCACAAUCCAACCUACAAUUCCCUCUAUUCCUUUCCUUUCUCCACCACCUUCUCCUUCUACCCCUUAAAAAUCCCUUUUGGCUUAUGGGACCCAGUCCAGAGUCGGGACAUGCUACUACUGUUCUCAUCUCAUUCAUGGUCGAAAGUGGUAGUUACAGACUCGAGUUUUUAAUCAGCAUAUAUAGUUACUUAUUUGUUUACUUUCUCUCUCCGAAGAUCGUACAAGAUUUGAGCCGUCUUUGUAUGUUGAUUUUUGAGAACUAUUGUUUGCUUAUUUUCACCACAUAUAGGAUUUGUUUGUAUAAAUGGGAGUUCCCAUUAUUUGGUGUAUUUUGAUACGUUAUUCUGCUUAUUUAUAAACUUCACAUUGUUAACACACGAAUUUAGCAAAUGAAGAAAAUAAUGAUAAAAUAAAUUAAUUAUGAUACAACACCACAAACCAAUGAGAUCAGAAUUGAAAAUGAUUAUUAAAAAUAUUAAAUUGAAGUAUAUAACAUAUAAUACAUUAAAUAACAAAAUACAAAUACAAGUUAUAUUUAUUUUAAACUAUAAUUAAAAAUUAAAUUUAUAAAAUACACUAUUAUAUUUAAGCUAAAUUAUAUAUUAAAAAUGUUAUAUUAAAUAAUAAUUAAAAUCAUUAUUACAUUAAAAUAAUGAUUAAUUGAGAUAAAUAUUAAAUUUAUACAUGAACUUCGUUUCAAUAUGCAAUUUGAUACAUGAACUUUUAUUUGGUACAAUUAUAUAGAUAAAACUUGUAUUGUCGCUAAUAUGUAUAUAUGAAACUUAGAUUUUGAUUUAAUUGUAUACAUUUAAAUAAUAUUUAUUUUCAUAUUGGAUUAAUAUAAUUAUUUACUUAUGUAAUAUCCAACGUAAAAUGGUGCUAAUUCGAUAAUGUUGUUAGUGAUUUUAGAAAAUUAAACCAAAUCAAAAUUUCAUGUAUAAAAUCGUACAAAAUAAAUCAAAAUUUAUGUAUAGUUUUGAUAUUUAUCUCUAAUAAAUUUGUGGAAUAAAAUAAAAUUUUAAUUAAUAGACUAGGGAUUGAAAAAUUAAAAAAACUCACCAAUGAGCUUGUGUUUUAGUUGGGGUUCAAUUUUGUCUAAAGAUAUCAAUGGACCAAAGGAGCCCUUAUAAUUUGUUGUCUGUAAAAUAAUUAUAACAUAAGACAUUAUGUAAAUUUUUCGCAUGGAACAAGUUAAGGAUUUAUUUUGGUUUUGAGAUUAAAUAAAACCACGUGUGUAUAAAAAUCAAAUUGGAGCUAAGGGCAGUGGAAAAAACCCAAAUUCUAUCAUGUUGAUGUUUCUAAAUAAUGUUUCUUUGUCGAGAUUGAGGGCAUUUUAAGAUAAAAUUCUCCAAUAAGUGUGCUUAUUAAAGUUUUAACCAUUUUUAUCCAUCCUAUCCAAAAUCAACCCAACUCAUUCUAUUUAUAAGUAUACAAGGACGAAUUUAGGGGCUAACCAACCCAAUUCAACUUUUGAUAGAAUUUGCUUUGGGUAAUUUUGAUAAGAAAAAAUAGGAAGAUAAUUAUUUGAAAUUUUAAAUUAUAUAUAACUUAGAAAAAAGAAUAACAUAUAGGGUGAAAUACUUAAAAAUGCCAAAUUUUAAAAAUAAAACUAUUGGAUUAGGUCAGUUUUUUGAAAAAUUACGGAACUAAGCCGAAAUGAUGAAAACUCUUCCAGCUAGAAGCGCUUUUCACAACGUUUACCCCCCAACAGCUUCCCCACCCCAACAGCUAUUUAAAUAGCCGUUGAACCCCCCUGAACUAAUGACUAUUUUUUUCCUAUAUAAACCCCUAAUUCUUUUAUUUUUUCAAUUCAAUCUCAACUCAUCUCUCUCGCAUUCUCAAAUCUCUCUCAAAUUUUCCUCAAUUCCCUCUUAAUUUCUCACUCAUUUUUUAUUCUUCUCUCAACUAUUCUUUUUAUUAAAAUUGUAUUAAUGUUUUUUAAAUUAUUUUUCUAUUACAAAUUAUUUCGUAUUUUUCAAAAUUAGUAACGGAAAAAUCUCUAAUUCGUUUGGAUGACAAGCACAUUUCGGUCGAAUGGUAAAAUUUUUUUAUUUAUAUUAGUCUAAUUUAAUUUAAAUAUUUUCUUGUUAUAUUGAAAUUUAAUAUUUUGUAUGGUUUUUUAUAUAUAGUCGGAAGAUCGAAUUUUGGAGACGUAUAUUUGUAAUCUACCCGCUCCUCCAUACUUGAAAAAUACAAGACUUUUGCACGUGGCUCGUAUGGGUAGGGGGUUUAAAUUGGACCCCACACUUGUAAGUGAGUUGGUGGAAAUGUGGAGACCCGAGAUGCACACAUUCCAUCUUCCAUGCAGCGAGUGCACUAUCACACUUGAGGAUGUGUAGUUACAACCUGAGUUAUCGAUGGAUGGGCCGGUAGUGACUGGGUCAGUUGACACAGCCGAUUGGAGAGAUGAAUGUGAGCAACUCUUGGAGAAGGUUCCGGACAUGAUUUAUGGAGCCUAGAUAGAUGUGAAUUGGUUGAAAAGAAAAUUUUUGUGGGCUCGAUGUGGAAUCGAGUGAAGUCCAAAGAGAAUAACACGCUUGGGCUCCAUAAAUCACAAUAAAUCAUCGGGGGUCUAUUAAUGCCCAAUAAAUCAAGAAAUCUUUUCCAUUUAAGGUGGUUACUCAAACUCGUAGACUUUAGAGAAGUGGGCGAACUCAGUUGGGGAUAGCCAUGUUGGCGACCUUGUAUUGGGAGAUGUGUCAGGCGGCAGAACCAUAGAAAAUUAAAAUUAGUGGUUGCAUGCUACUACUGCAAUCAUGGGUGUGGUAUCGGUUGCCAUUUUUACGUCCUCGAGCGAACUACCCUUAUGCAUGCCCACUCGUAACAAGGUAAAUUUCAUUAGAUAAUAUAUUUAUCAUAAUAAAAUUAUUUAAAAUUUAAAUUAUUGUGUUAGCAUAUUAUUUUAAUAAGUGGAACUAUGGGCCAAGUUAUGUGGGACUACCGGAGGAGCUUUAAGAUAUACGACUUUUGUUAGAUCAACGAUAGGAAGCGGAGGUAUAUAUUUUUUAAAUUUGAAUUAUAUAAUAUUAACAUAGUUGAUUUAAAAAUUAAUAGUAUAAAUACAAUUAAAAAGUUUAUUAUUUUAAUAUAGUUUGAAUGCAUCCCGUUUGAAUUCUUGGUGAGUCCCAACAUCUGGCAUGUGAAGUUGUCAUUGGUAGUGUAUGCUAUGAUGAAGAUGCUUGAAUCAGAUAAAGUUAUGUAACAGUUUGAGUUUAGGCAAACGAUUCUGCUGACACCCUAAGACAUCAAAUAUCUGCACUAUAUCGACUUGUGGGGGAGAAUAGAUGAAAAUUGGUGUAACGCCCCAGAAUUUGGGCCUAGAAGUAUUGGGCCUUGAGCAAGGGAAUGGUUAGGAAACUGUGCACAAAAGUAUGUAUGCUUUAGUGGUUAAGGGUCCUAAGAGAAGUUGGAAAAGUCCUGGGUUCAAACCUGGGCUUUAGCAAAAAUUUUGGUUUUAAGUGAAUAAAACUCUGGAUGCUUGGUUGUAGGCCUUUUAAAUUAUUAUGUUAAAAAUGUCAUAAGGAAGCAUGUGGUCUAGUGGUUGUGGCAUCAUUAAGGUUACAAAGGAGCCUGGGUUCAUGUCUUGGCUUUUACAAUUUAUUUUAUUCUUUUAAAGGAACCUGGACUUUGGCCCUUAGACCUUUUUAUUAAUUAAAGAUAAAAUGUGAGACAAAAUAGCUUGUGGCAAGGAGGCAAGUGGCGUGUUGAGCUAUUGAGGGGGGAUUGGGUUCGAAUCCCAUUGCAAGCAAAAAGGAUAUUUAUUUUGCUAGUAUGAGACAGAAGGAGUUUAAGGUGGUUUCGAACUCUGUAAGGUGAAGUUUGAAUUGGUCUUGGAUGGAAUUGUGGAGAAAAUUAAGAAGGAGAUUGGGGAGAGAAUUAAGGAAUUUCGAAUAUGGGAGGUUGGUAGCAUGUUGUGGCCGAGUGAGAUUCUAAGGCUUUAGUGGAAUGCGACUAGGGGAAAUAGGGAGCAUUUUCGGCACUAGGCAUUUCUUUGUUCGGUUUUGUGGGGUUUUAGAUGAGAGUGCCGAAUUCUCUUUGGGUUUUUACCAUUCGGGGAUUUGUUUCAAGUUUUGCGUUUUAACUAUUGAGGUGACCAACAUUGCUGCUAUUUCCUUCCUUUCUACAUUUGCCGAAUAGGUAACUUUCUUUUUGGUUUCUUUUUCUUUCUUUGCUUUGCUGAAAUCCCUUUCCUCUCUCACUCUUAGUUCUGCUUCUUCUUUUCCUUCUAAAUCCUUCUCCUCUCGGCCUCCCUUCUAAACUGAACCUACUCUCCAUCUUCUUCUUCCUGCUUCCCGCUCUCUUCCAAUCAUAGCCGAUUCUUCAUAAGGAUUUUUUUAUACGUUCAGUUUAUCAUCUUUCCCUAUUGUGUUUGGCCGAAUAUACUUGAACUAUUCUAACCGAUCCCAUCAUCAUCAAUUUUGGGUUCUAAAAUCUCUAAAAGGGAAAUGGACGUUUUCGAUUAUAUGUUGCGUAAUGAGAUAUCAAUGAUGGCGAGUAGUAGCCAUUCUGAGGGAGGAUCAGGAAUGGUACCAGCUGAGAAUGGGCACGUAGCCCCUGCGCCCAAAGUUAAGUAGCAUAAAGUGUAAGCUGUUCGGGAUUUUCCACCGGGUUGCAGCAGGGUGGUUGCACCAAUCUUUGGAUCAAGUGGGCAAUCACAACCGGCUGAUCUAGUCAAGGGAGAGGUAAUCUGUUGGACAAGUAUUUUCGAUAGAGGCUGUUUUGAUAAGUUGAUUGGGAUUCGAUUAACCCGAUUGACAAGUGAUUAAUGGAUUGCCUUGAUUGAUUGUAGGUUGGAAUUCUCGUAGGUCUUUCAAAUUUUUCGCAAUUAGGUGUGUAUCUGUACACCGUAAAUCAUUACUGUCAUAAAACCGAAAGAGUGUGUGUAAUGACACCCUCUCUAAAUUGCAAAGCAGCAAAAGUUAAAAAGUCGUGAGCACGACGUUCGAGACAUCACGAGCGCGCGAGUGCUCGAGUGGUAAGCUUAGCGUGCGAUACGUGGUAAAAUGAUCGAAUUACCCCUGAAGGGUAAAAUGAUCGAGAUACCCUCUUAGGGUAAAAUAACCAAAAUACCCCUGUAAGGUAAAAUGACCGUAAUGCCCCUAAAGGGUAAAUGACUAUUUUGCCCUUCGAGGUUAAAUGAUUGAUUUGUCCGUGAUGAAAAUGAUUGAUUUAUCUGUGAUUUAAAUGACUGCUUUGUUUGUAAAUUGUAUGACUGAUUUUGAGCAUGGCAUUCCGCAUACAAAACAUACUGCAUGGGGUUGGGUUACUGUUAUGGAGGAAGUACUGUACUAGUGGCUCUGUCACGAUCACUGUGACUGGUGGCUUAGCCACACAUUCUGAUUACUGGCAGCUUUGCUACAAUAUUGUUGCUGGCAGCUUUAUUGCGAUACUACUGAUGGCUGUGUGCCGGUCAUAUCACUGCUACUGAUGGCUUUGAUUCGAUCAUAUUAUCGUUACUGAUGGUUGUGUGCCGAUCAUAUCACUGCUACUGAUGGCUUUGGGCUAAUCAUAUUGCUGUAUUUAUGGCUUGUAGCCAUUCUGUUUAUAGCUUAUAGCUAUUCUGCUUACGGCUCUUAGCCAUUCUGAUUACUAGUAGCUUUGCUGCGAUACUGAUUAGUGCUGCUACUGGUGUUGAUAUUGAUGUGAUGGCUGGGUGGGUCGAUUUUAUCCCCACAUGGUGUUUUGGUUGGUACGGGUGGUGUGUUGGCUGGAUUGAGAUGGGUUGCAUUAUUACAUUGUACCGAUAUUGUAUUGGGCUAAAGCCCACAUUGUUACUGUAUUGGGCUAAGACCCACACUAUUAUUGCAUGUUGUAUGCUGACUGUUUGAUAGGGGAUUACACACCGAGUUUUCGCAAACUCACCUUUCUGUCUAAUUAUACAGGUAAUCCUCAACGUUAGACGGUUCAGAGCUGUGAGGGACUCGGAGAGGGCCACACAAUUGCACAUGUUUUAUUCUGUUUUACUCAUUUACUUAAGCAAUUUGAUUUUGAUUCGGGUUGUAAUAAGGCCUCUAUAAUUUUUGGAUUUUAAAUUUGGAAUUUGAUGUGAUUGUGAUUUAUAUCUGCUAGAAGUAGAACACGGUUUUCUAAAAUAAUAACUAUUUUUAACAUUACGUUUCCGCACCUCAAUUUUUAAAUAUCACAUUCUCGUAGAUCAUUUGCUUUAAAUUAAACUUUCUUUAACAAUAAGGUUUUGAAGGUAAUAACUUUUUAAUAAACCUCGAUUGAUAAUAAACAAACACAAACUGAGGUUUUAUACAAGUUUUAAAUGGCAAGAAGUUUGAAAUUUCAAGAAGGGUUUUUAAUGAAAACAUGGUUUUCGAAAAACACUUCAAUGUGACAUGCCAGAUUCAGGCCUAACUUCUAGGUCGGGUGUGGGGUGUUACAUUUAGUGGUAUAAGAGCCUAGUUGUAAAACUCGACUGUGGAAUGCGUUUUCAAAUUUUUAGAUAUUAAAAGGUUAUUUUCGAAUAUGUGAAAUGUUUUAAUAUACUUAUUCUGAAAAGUGUGGCACACCGAGUCUCCGGCGCUGAAUCCGUAAGUUUUCUGAAUACUUUUGUCUAUUUAGAAAUUAAAAUGCGGUAAGUUAGGAAGUACUGUGACUACUUUAGAAAUUAGAUUAUACCACUCUAGAUAGAGCAAGCUGAAACUAUAGGGGACUGGAACUGUAGUGAAACUUCAAUCUGCAUAAAACAGUUAGUGCUGAUUAAACGAGAAUAGACAAUGGGCAUAAGAGAUAUGCGCAAAUGUGGUUCAAGAGGCUGUAGUAAUGUUUUGAGUCAGAGUGCGCAGCGGGAGCGUAGUGGUGAAGUCUGUGUGUGCGACUAUCUUAUUAGUUGGAAAUUUCGAAGACGAAAUUUCUUUAAGGGGAUAGAAUUGUAAUGCCCCAGAAUUUGGGCCUAGAAGUAUUGGGCCUUGAGCAAGGUAACUUUUAGGAAACUGUGCACAAAAGUAUGUCUACUUUAGUGGUUAAGGGUCUUGAGAGGAGUUGGAAAGGUCCUGGGUUCAAACUUGGGCUUUAUCAAAAAUUUUAGUUUUAAGUGAAUAAAACCUUAGAUGUUUGGUUAUAGGCCUUUUAAAUUAUUAUGUUAAAAAUGUCAUAAGGAAGCAUGUGGUCUAGUGGUUGUGGCGCCAUUAAGGUUACAAGAGAGCCUGGGUUCAAGUCUUGGCUCUUGCAAUUUAUUUUGUUCUUUUAAAGGAACCUGGACUUUGGCCAUUAGACCUUUUUUUUUAAUUGAAGAUAAAAUGUAAGACAAAAGAGCUUGUGGCAAGGAGGCAAGUGGCGUGUUGAGCUAUUGAUGGGGGACUGAGUUCGAAUCUCAUUGCAAGCAAAAAGGAUAUUUAUUUUGCUAGUAUGAGGCGGCAGGAGUUUGAGGUGGUUUCGAACUCUGUAAGGUGAAGUUUGAAUUGGUCUUUGAUGGAAUUGUGGAGCAAAUCAAGGAGGAGAUUAGAGAGAGAAUCAAUGGAUUUCGAAUAUGGGAGGCUGGUAGUGUGUUGUGGUCAAGUGAGAUUCUAAGGCUUUAGUGAAAUUCGGCUAGGGUGAAAUAGGGAGCAUUUUCGGCACUAGGCAUUUCUUUGUUUGGUUUUGUGGGGUUUUAGAGGAGCGUGCCGAAUUCUCUUUAGGUUUUUACCAUUCGGGGAUUUCUUUCAAGUUUUGCGUUUUAGCUAUUGAGGUGACCAAAAUUGCUGCUAUUUCCUUCCUUUCUAUAUUUUCCGAAUAGGUAACAUUUUUUUUGGUUUCUUUUUCUUUCUUUGCUUUGCCGAAAUCCCUUUCCUCUCUCACUCUUGGUUCUGCUUCUUCUUUUCCUUCUGAAUCCUUCUCCUCCCAGCCUCUCUUCUAAACUCAACCUACUCUCCAUAUUCUUUGUCUUUGCUUCUCGCUCUCUUCCAAUCAUAGCUGAAUUCUUCAUAAUGAUUUUUGUGUACGUUCAGUUUAUCAUCUUUCCCUAUUGUGUUUGGCCGAAUAUACCUGAACUAUUCUAACCGAUCCCAUCAUCAUCAAUUUUGGGUUCUAAAAUCUCUAGAAUUGAAAUGGACGUAUCCGAUUAUAUGUUGCGUAAAGAGAUAUCAAUGGUGGCGAGUAGUAGCCAUUCUGAGGGAGGAUUAGGAAUGGUGCCAGCUGAGAAUGAGCAUGUGAUAAGUUGAUUGGGAUUCGAUUAACUCGAUUGACAAGUGAUUAAUGGAUUGCCUUGAUUGAUUAUAGGUUGGAAUUCUUGUAGGUCAUUCAUACUUUUUGCAAUCAAGUGUGUAUUUGUAAACCGUAAAUCAUUACUGUCGUAAAGCCAAAAAAGUGUGUAAUCACACCCUCUCUAAAUUGUAAAGCGAAAAAAGUCGAAAAGUCGUGAGCAUGGCGUUCGAGACAUCACGGGCGCGCGAGUGCUCGAGUGGUAAGCUCAAUGUGUGAUAUGUGGUAAAAUGAUCGAGAGACCCUCUUAGGGUAAAAUAACCAAAAUACCGCUGUAAAGUAAAAUGACCUUAAUGCCCCUAAAGGGUAAAUGACUAUUUUACCCCUCGAGGUUAAAUGAUUGAUUUGUCCAUGAUGAAAAUGACUGAUUUGUCUGUGAUUUAAAUGACUAUUUUUCCUAUGAAUUGUAUGACUGAUUUUGAGCAUGACGUUUCGCAUACAUGACAUACUGCAUGGGGUUGGGAUACUGUUAUGGAGGAAGUACUGUACUAGUGGCUCUGCCACGAUCACAGUUACUGGUGGUUUGGCCACACAUUCUAAUUACUGGCAGCUUUGCUGCAAUACUGUUGCUAGCAGCUUUGCUGCGAUACUACUGAUGGCUGUGUGCCGAUCAUAUCACUGUUACUGAUGGCUUUGAUCCGAUCAUAUUAUCGUUACUGAUGGCUGUGUGCCGAUCAUAUCACUCUACUGAUGGCUUUGGGCCAAUCAUAUUGCUAUAUUUAUGGCUUGUAGCCAUUCUGUUUAUAGCUUAUAGCUAUCCUAUUUACGGCUCUUAGCCAAUCUGAUUACUAGCAGCUUUGCUGCGAUACUGAUUAAUGAUUCUACUGGUGUUAAUAUUGGUGUGAUGGCUGGGUGGGUCGAUUUUAUCCCCACAUGGUGUGUUGGUUGGUAUGGGUGGUGUGUUGCUGGAUUGAGAUGGGUUACAUUAUUACACAGUACCAAUACUGUAUUGGGCUAAGGCUUACAUUGUUACCGUAUUAGGCUAAGGCCCACACUGUUGUUGCAUGUUGUAUGCUGACUGUUUGAUUGGGGAUUACACACUGAGUUUUCAGAAUCUCACCCUUCUGUCUAAUUGUAUAGGUAAUCCCUAGCGUUAGACGGUUCGGAGCUACGAGGGACUCGGAGAGGGCCACACAACUGCACAUGUUUUAUUCUUUUUUGCUCAUUUACUUAAGCAAUUUGAUUUUGAUUCGGGUUGUAAUAAGGCAUCUAUAAUUUCUGGAUUUUAAAUUUGGGAUUUGAUAUGAUUGUGAUUCAUAUCUGCUAGAAGUAGAACACAGUUUUCCAAAAUAAUAACUAUUUUCUAACAUUACGUUUCCGCACCUCAAUUUUUAAAUAUCACAUUCUCUUAGAUCAUUUUCUUUAAAUUAAACUUUCUUUAACAAUAAGGUUUUAAAGGUAAUAACUUUUUAAUAAACCUCGAUUGAUAAUAAACAAACACAUACUGAGGUUUUAUACAAGUUUUAAAUGGCAAGAAGUUUGAAAUUUCAAGAAGGGUUUUUAAUGAAAACAUGGUUUUCGAAAAACAAUUCAAUAUGACACGCCAGGUUCAGGCCUAACUUCUAGGCUGGGUGUGGGGUGUUACAAUUGGCCUACAUUUCACGUUGAAUAUUCCAACCUUUGGAACAAUAUAUACGAAUUUUUACCUACUCGUGAGGCAAUUAUCGCUCUGAAGUUAGCUUGCGAUCCGGAGUACAUGCCAUGGUUUAGACACUAUGGCAAGCCAUAUCUACUAGCGGAAGAGGCGAGGGGUAGACAACGUGAGGAGGCCACGACAGGAGCCUAGGUAUCCAAGGCUAGGUGCAGCUUUCGAGGCGGGUCUAUCCCACUACACAUCCACCACUCAGAAACCCAGUUCAGCACAACUCUUGCCAAAAUUAAGAGCAAAAAUACAACCUUUACUGUCCCAAAGAUUCGAACCUAUGGCCUCCCUCACACCAACACUCCACUUAUCCACUAGACCAGCAGGCCCAUUCUGUUAAUUAUUUGCCAACUUUUACUUAAAAGCCUACUGACCAAAGAUAGGGCUUAUUCAUAAAAAAUACCAAAAUUUGCCUUAAGUCUUGGCUUGAACUUGCGGCCUUCCAAACACUCCCAGAACACAUAACCACUAAAGUUGAUAGAUGUUUGUGUCACACAUUCACAAUACUGAAAAUUAAAAUUUUAGGGCGUCACAAUUCUACCCCCUAAAGAUAAUUUCGUCCUCCUGAUCAGAACAGAUGAGGACACUGCUGACACAUUGCAUCCUCAGGCUCCCAUGUGGCCUUUUUAGUGUUAUGCUUACGCCAUAGAACCUUUACCAGUAGAAUGGAUUUCCUUCUCAGAACAUUAACGUUGCGAUCCAAAAUCUAAAUCGACUCUUCCUCAAAGGUCAAAUCUGGCCUAACCUUGAUCUCUUCAAUAGGGACAAUAUGAGUAGGAUCAGAGUGGUAGCGCCUCAAAUUGUCCUCCAGUAUCUGAAUCACCCUCUCAGACUGACCAUCGAUCUGAGGAUGGAAUGUAGUACUGAAGUCCACCCUUGAACCUAGAGCCUCAGGUAACUUCCUCCAAAACCAGGACGCGAAACAAGGAUCCCUAUCAGAGGUGAUCGAAAUCUGUACUUUAUGCAGUCUCAUUAUCUAAAAAAUAUAAAGUUUCGCCAGCUUGUGCAGAGAAUUAUCAGUACGAACCGAUAUAGAGUGGGCAGAAUUAGUCAAUCGAUCCACGAUGACCCAUAUUAAAUCCUUCUUAGUGGGUGUUAGAGGCAACCCAUUAACGAAAUCCAUAGUUACGCACUCCCAUUUCCAAAGAAGAAUCUUAACCAGUUGCAGCAAACCCGAAGGUAAUUGAUGCUCAGCCUUAACCUGUUGGCAAGUCAAACAUUUACCCACAAAAUCAGUAACCUCACAUUUCAACCUUGGCCACCAAUAUAACUCACGAAGGUCUCGGUACAUCUUAUUUCCGCCAGGAUGCAUAGCAUAAAGGCUACUAUACGCCUCUCUCAGUAUGGCUUGUCUCAAAUCAGUAUCAUUUGAAACACAGAUUCUCCCACGAAAAUAGAGUACCUCAUCACUGUUUAGUCCAAAAUUUGUAGUACAACUACCCUCAAUCUGUCGGAAUCGAAGACCGAAUGACUCAUCCUCCAACUACUUACCCUUAAUCUGAUCAAUCCAAAACGACUUAACUUGAAGCUCGGCUAAUAAACUACCAUUCAUCAAAUAAACUUAGGCAAGCAAAUAUUGCCCUCAAAUUAGUCAUAGCCUUACGGCUCAGUGCGUCAAACACCACAUUGGCCUUACCAAGGUGGUACUCAAUGGUGCAGAAUAGGAGCAUCAGUCAGUACAGUCUAAAACUUCUUAAAGCUCUCUUACUGUGCAUCAGUCCAGUUAAACGGCACACCCUUACGUAGCAGCUUAGUCAAGGGUGCUACAAUCAAUGAAAAACCCUCUACAAAUCAUCGAUAAUAUCCCACUAGCCCUAGAAAACCGCGGAUCAGACACGUUCCUAGGCUACUUUCACUCCAACACAGCCUCAAUCUUUCGAAGAUCAACUUGAAUCCCCUCAGUUGAAACUACAUGACCAAGAAAUGUCUCAUUACGCAGCCAGAACUCGCACUUACUAAACUUAGCAUAGAGCUGUUUUUCCUUCAAAAUCUGAAGAACGACUUGAAGGUGCUCAUCAUGCUCAUCCUCAGUCCUCGAGUAAACCAUUAUGUCGUCGAUGAAUACCACCACAAACUGAUCCAAAUAAGGCUGGAACACUCGAUUCAUUAAAUCUAUGAAAGUUACCGGUGCAUUAGCCAAUUCGAAUGGCAUCACUAGGAACUCGUAGUGACCAUAACAAGUCCUAAACACCGUCUGACGAACAUCACCCUCCUUAACCCUUAAUUGAUGAUAUUCAGAUCGAAGGUCAAUCAUAGAGAAAAUCGAAGCUCCUCAGAACUGGUCAAACAGAUCAUCUAUCCUCGGUAGGGGGUAAUUAUUCUUAAUGGUUAAUUUAUUCAGCUGCCUGUAGUCGAUGCACAUACGCUUGGGUCCAUUCUUUUUCUUUACAAACAGAACCGGUGCUCCCCACGGAGACACAUUAGGGCAGAUGAACCCACGAUCUAAAAGCUCUUGAAUCUGAGCCUUAAGCUCCACAAGCUUAUUCAGUGCCAUUCUAUAGGGAGCGAUGGACACUGGAGUUAUACCAGGAAAGAGCUCUAUCUCAAACUCCACUUCACGAUUCGAAGGUAAACUCGAUAGCUCAUCCGGAAAGAUAUCUGGAAUAUCAUUUACCGUUCUGAUAUCCUUAACUGUAGAGUCCCUAAAAUCUGAAACACUUACAUAGGCCAAGAAUGCCUCACAUCCCUUAUGAACCAACUUCUCCGUCACCAGUGCAGAGAUCAAAUUAGAUAAGUAGUUCCGACGUUCUCUGAUCAUGACUACCUCCAUAUCCUCCUCAGUGAUUUUUACCUUCUCGACCAGGGCAGAAAGAUCUCGCUCCCUCUGCGGGGCUAUCAGAACUUUCAAAUUAUCUCUGAAUUCAUCAUCAAAAUGGACACAUCGCUCAUACUUAGAUGCUACCAUACCUCGCGUAUAGUGGCUCAGUCUCAAAAACUCGGCCUCGUACUCAGCCACUGAUCGAUCCCCCUGUGUAAGAUUCAGAAACUCCCUCCUACGUGCAUUCACAUAACUAGCUUCUACAUAUUUCCCCUGGAAUGCGGUCUUAAAGAACUCCUAGGUUAGACGCUCGGGCUAAGUGCUCUCAUUAACAGUCACCCACCACUAAUAAGCCUCGUUCCGCAGCAGCGAGAUUGCACCUUUUAAUUUCUGCUUAGGGGUACAAUCUAGAUCAUCCAUUAUCCUCUCUGUUGCCUCAAUCUAGUACUCGGCCACACUUGGGGAGACCCUAGUGACACCCCUAAAAAGCUCAGCUCUAUUGCAUCGGAGUCGUUCUGUAACCGACCAUCGACUCCUAAAUCCAGUAUUGGGCCCAGUGACCCUCUCCAAAAUCCUUAGCAUAGCUUAGGACAAUGCAUCAUCCCCAGCCAUGCGAUCUUGAGACCCAGUCUCAGUAGCAGGUGACACUGGCGUCUCACUCGUAUCCAAAUUUGACAGAUUGCCAGAUGACGAAGACCUAGCUCGAGCAGCUCUAUGGCCUCUACCACGGCCUCUUGUACCCCGUCCGCGAGUACCUCUGGUGCUCAUUAUCUAAUUGCAUUUUAUUGGUAUUAACAGUUUUAUGCAUCAGUUUACAGUUCCAGUGUUUAUUAACAGAUAUUUUAUAAAAAAAUAUCAAAAGUGUAAAGUUUGUUUCAGACAUCGUAGUGUCAAUCAAUGUCUAUCAAUUUUACUACAGUCUCAGUAUAUACUAUUUUAAGUGUUUUCAAUAUAGUCUAUCUAUAAUAGUCUCAGUAUAUACUAUCUAUAGCAGUUUCAGGAUAUACUAUCAAUGAUAGUUUUAGUUUCAGUUUAAACAAUUCACAGUAUCAAAAAACUUACUGGAUCGGCACCGGAGACUCGGUGUACCAUAUUUUCAGUAAACAUAUUUAGAAAUCAGUUCUCAGAAAUAAUGUCUUAAAAACCCAUAUCCACAAUCGAGUUUUACAACCUGGCUCUGAUACCACUAAAUAUAAUACCCCAAACCUGGCCUAGACGUUAUGGCCGAAUUUGACGACGUUACAUGGUAGUGCUUUUCGAAAAAUAUGUCGUCGCUAAAUCCUCUAUUCUAUUUAACCAUUUUUUAUUAUCUUAUGUUAACUUCAAAUCGUGUCGUUCGUUUUCAAAAUAUUAUUCAUUUACAAAUCAUUAUUCAAUUUCAAAAAGUUUUUUUAUUUUUAUUGCGGAAGCUUUUAAACAGUUUGCUUAUUCGUGGUAUUUUUGAUAAAACAUUAAUUUCAAUUGAAAACACGAGUUUUACCUAACACUAGCAGAUUUAAAUCAUAAAACUGUAAAAAAUCUAAAUUUUAAACCAAAAUUCGUAAAGGCCAUAAUUACAGCAAAAUACUCCCAAAUAAAAGUAAAAUCAUAAAUAGGUAGUAAACAGUGUAAAAGAAGUUGUGUGGCCACCAUUGAGUCCUUUGCUGCACCGAUCUGCCUAUAUCUAGGGAUUACCUGUACAGAUUAAAUAAAAGGGGUGAGUUUACGUAAACUCAGUGUGUAAUCCCCAUACAAAUGAAUAGUUAGUAAACAAAUAAUCACAAAAAUAAUAUCAGUCCAGUUUGGGCCUUAGCCUAUCUUAGUACAAAAACAAUCAUACAGUAGGGCUUUAGCCCAUCACAGUAUCAGUAGUAGUAACAGAUAUGCAGUCACAAAAAUCCUACCCAUCCAGCCUCUACACACCAUCUCCGUCCAACCCUACACUCCAUGUGGGGAUAUAAUCGACCCACCAAUCCCUACACUCCAAGUAGUACCGAAUGCGGAACUAGACAAUAGUUUGUAGUUGAGCUACCAGUAAAUUAGGCUCAAGACCUUUCAGUACACUUCCUCCGAACAUUAUAAUCCCCCAACCCAAUGUAAUGCAAUAUACAAAUAUGACAUGCUAUAACAUAAUAUCAUGCAUGUAAACAGGGCAUACAAUAUCAAUCAGUGUGACAUAAUCAGGCUUAAUCAUAUCAGUCAUACAGUCAUUUCAAUCAAUUAGGGGUCUAGGUUAACUUAUCGACCCUAUAAUAAGUUCACAGUAGGGGUGAGUAAAACUCAAUUCGACUCAAAAAAAUCGAAAAAAAUUCAAAUUUCGAGUUAAACGAAUCGAUUUAUUCGAAUAAACUCAAUUUUUUUUUCAAAUUUCGAGUUCAAAUCGAGUUGAGUUUUCGAAUUCGAAUAACUCGAUUAAUUCGAAUAUCAAACUAUAAUAUUUUACAUUUUUACCCCAAACUCUCAAACCUUUUUACUUUUCCCUCAAAAACUUUUACUCCUUCCCACUUUCCCCCCAAAACUUUUAUUCCCCUCCCCUCCCAACCCCCUAAUCUACCUAAAAUUCAUUUCCCACCAAAAUUUUACUCUCCCAUUUACUUUUUCUCAAAAUUUUACUCCCAAAAACCCUCAAAACCUUUUAUUUCCCCCCAAAAUUUUUACUCCCUCCCACUUUUCCCCUAAAACUUUUAUUCCCUUCCCAUCCCACCUUUCAUCUACCCCAAACCCCCUCCAUUUUUUUAAUAUUUUCCCUCCAAAAUUUUACUCCCCCCUAUUUACUUUCCCUCAAACUUUUAUUCCCCAAAACUUAUUAUUUCCCCCCUAAACUUUUACUUCUCACCCUUUACUCUCAAAUAAAAAAUAAAAAUUAUCCAAAACAAAUCACUAAACAUAAAUAUUAAUAAUUUUAUUUAUAUCUACUAUUUAUAUUAUUAAAUUAAAUUUCACAUUUUAUAUUAUUUAUAUUAUUGAAUUGUUUAGUCAUGUUGAAUAUUUAUAUUAAAAUUGAAUUAUUAAUUAUGCUAUAAAAUAUUCGUGUUAAAAUUUUAUAUUGGUAUCAAUUUCACAUUUUAUUUUUAAAAUAAUUUUGAUUAAAAAUCAUAUUUUUACAUUUAAUAUUUUUUUAAUUCCAAAAUAUAUAGUGACAAGAAUCUGAAGAUAAUUGAAACAACUAAACAAGCAAAGAAGCUAACCAAUAUAUAAAAAAUUAAUAAAUAAAUUAUGAGGUGAAGAAAGUUAAUAAAAAAUUUGAUUAAGGCGGACAAAUUUUAUUACGAUGGGUGACAGUGGUUACAAGGACCCAAAAUUAUUUUUUAAAAUUUAACUCGAAUAAAUAUAUUCGAUUCGAUUCAAUUUGAAUUCCAUCUCACUCCACUCGAUUCGAGAAAACUUCAAAUAAAGUUAGGAUGAUAAAAUGAGAUUCGAAAACUCGAUUAACUCGAAAAUUUUCGAUUCGAUCGAAUGCUCACCCCUAGUUCAUAGUCGACUUGGGCGACUCGUGCAACGUUAUCAGUCAAACAGUGAAAAUGAGCCUACAAGCCCAUGAUGUUCGCCCGUGUAGGCCUACAUGCCCAUGUGGCCCACAUGGCCCAAAUUGGCCUUGGCCACGUGAUCCAUUUUAAUGUAACCCGUGUUAGAUAAUUAUUCAAAUGUGUUUCCACUAUUUACUUAUAUGAUCCUUCAAAGUUAUUUAAUUGAGUCACUGUUACUAAAUUAUUUUUAUCUUAAGCUACAAAAUUCUGAAUUAAGAUCCGUAAAUUUUUCCUGAAACCAGACUCACAUAUCUUCUUACAUAAAUUUUCAGAAUUAUUGGUUUAACCAAUAAGUACAGUUUAUUCUUUAAAGUUCCCCUAUUCUGCUAUCUGACAGUUUCGACCUUUUUGCAAUAAAAAUUAAUUAUCUUCUCGUACAGAAUUUGGAUGAUGUUCUUGUUUGUUUCUUUUGAAAGUAGACUCAUUAUAGGUUUUAAAAUAUAAAUUCUAACCUAUAAUUAUUUUUAUACAAUUUUUAAUAAUUUUCCAAAGUUAGAAUAGGGGAUUCCGAAAUCAUUCUGACUCUAUCUCACUAAAAUUCAAAUAUCUCAUAAUAUGAAAUUCUUUUGCUUACUUAGUUUCUUCUAUGAGAAACUAGACUAAAAUAUAUUUAAUCCCAUAUUUUUUCAUUCUUUAAUUUGAUUUGCACAAUUUAUGGUGAUUUUUAAAAAACAGUAAGCAAUUUCGGCUUUUCGCCGAAUCCCUUAUUUUUGUGUUUCGAGUACACAGUUGGUUUUGUUUGAUGCUAAAAUAGUCCCCGAGCACUCCAAAACCUAUAAUUAAGAAAAUAACACCAUAAUCAGUCUUACCUCGCGAUUAAUCAAAAUCCUGAAACCAAAAUACUUAUUCAUAAAAUGAUGAGCACUUAUCGCAAAAACUUUAAAUCGGUACGUUUACGAAAAUCACGAGGAGAGCCUUAAUCCUCAUGAAAUGCUGCUGCCAACACCCUGGAAUUAGACUAUUGAACACAAAAUAAUCUCUUAACAUGAUACCUAACAACUUACUGAACUUACUGAAUUUGCACAAGUGCUGCUUAACACAAAAUAAUCUCUUAACAAGGGAAUUUCGACAAAAGAAAAGAUAAUCGAGUAAGAAGCAAAGAAGAAAAAAAAGUUUGGUAGAGAUGGGAAAGAGAAAACGUUAGAAAGAUGGAGAGCAAAACAACUCUUUUUUUUUCGAAAAUGGAAAAAGUGAUCAGAUUUUGGAUAUUCUCCCCCAUAAUCCCCUAAUUCACUUCUAAAAUUGCUCCCUCACUUCCCACUACACAUCCACCACUCAGAAACCCAGUUCAACACAACUUUUGCCGAAAUAAGGAGCAAAAAUAUAACUUUUGCCGUCCCAAAGAUUCAAACCCAUGAUCUCCCUCACACCAACAUUCCACUUAUCCACCAGACCAGCAGGUCCAUUCUGUUAAGUAUUUGCCAAAUUUUACUUAAAAACCUACUGACCAAAGAUAGGGCUUAUUCAUAAAAAUACCAAAAUUUUCCCAAGUCCUGGCUUGAACUUGAGACCUCCCAAACACUUCAAGAACAUAUAACCACUAAAGCUGACAGAUGUUUGUGUCACACAUUCACAAUACCCAAAAUUAAAAUUUUAGGGCGUUACACACCACCCUCAAUCAAUAUGGUUUGAUUUAUUCUGGUGCUUUACUAACCCCGUCAUUUUUACACAAGCACCACAUCUUACACAACAUUUAUCUAUUUCUACAUCGAUGCCAGGUUUUAUUUUUGGACCACCACUUCCAUCUUCGGCAUAUUACACACCAAUGAAAUCGAUGUUUCAAACGACGACGAUUUCGAAGAUGGCAUAUAGGCCAUUUAUGUUUGGGGCACCAACCGAAAGUCUGAUUGUUCUAUCAUCAGUGUAUGGGACACAAUAUAGUUUUAUACAUACGUCGAUGGUGUCACAAACACCCAUCUUUGCAACCACUUAUUCCUAGAGCGGAGGAUAUACGAUGGCAAUUGAUGAGCACUCCAUAAUCAAUCAUGAAUGAAGGCAAAGAAGAUGAGAGGCCGAGAUUACAACCUAUACGCCAGUGUAGAUAUAAUGAGGAAGACGAAAAGGCCGGUAUACAGCUUGAAUUGUAACAUCCCAAAAACCAGUUUAGAAGAAAUUGCGUUUUGAAACCAAAAGAGGUCAUCCCUCGAUUUGAGUUUAGACUUUGGAAAUUCUUAACAAGUAAAUUGNNNNNNNNNNNNNNNNNNNNNNNNNNNNNNNNNNNNNNNNNNNNNNNNNNNNNNNNNNNNNNNNNNNNNNNNNNNNNNNNNNNNNNNNNNNNNNNNNNNNCUACAAAAUGCUAACACUAACCCUACUUUAACAAAAAACAAAACCCUUGCCCUAAAAAAACCCUAAACCCAGAAGGAAAACGCCUUUAGUUGGAAGCGUUUUCAAUGGAUGUGACAUAAAGUGUGUCUAGUUGAAAGCGUUUUUUUUGCAAAUCCGCUGAAAAUAUUUUCAGUAGGAAGCAUUCUUUUUUUUAGUCUAAUCACGUAAUUUUUCCAAAAAUCAGCCUAAUUUAGUAAAUUUUUAAAAAAAUCGGCAUUUUUGAGAAAUUUACUCUACCAUAUAUGUAUAUAAUUGAUUAGGGGACAUAGUAGGAAAGGUCUAUAAGGAAAUGUGUAGAUUACAUAGUUUCUUUAUAUAAUCAGCUUCGAAAGUACUAUUGUUGUGCAUGUUAGGGAAACUUUGUUAACAUGGAGGUUUAUCGAAGUAUACUACUUCACAUAUUAUUAAUCUAUAAUAUAUAUAAAAGUACGAGUUUGAAAUUUAUUUUUAAUUGAUGAGAAUAUUUUUUAUUUUCUAUCAUAUUAUUAAAUUCACAAUUAAAAAUAAUUAUAAUAUUUAAAUUAGUAUUAUUACUUACAAAAGUUGAAAUGAAAUAGAAAUGAUACAUUUAAAAAUAAUUAUAAUUUAAUAAAAGUUGUGACAAUUACACAUUUAAAUAUAAUUAGUCGUGCUACGUUUAAAAUAUAGGGGAAAAUGUGAUAAAUAUAAAUAUAAUUUACUAUUAUUAAUUAAAAUAAAAUAAUUAUUUAAAUAGAAUUUUAAACAUAGUAAUUAUCACUUCACUGUUUGAUGAAUAUUUCGUAAUGGAUACGUUCUAACCGUAAGGUUUUUAAUUGUUGGGUUAGAAUGAGUUUAUGUGAUAAUGUUCUUUCCGUAAGAUUUUUAAUUGUUGGGUUAGAAUGAGUUUAUGUGAUAAUGUGGUGAAUGUAGUUUUGGGAGUUCGAUAACAAAAUCAUUCUACCAGCCUCUAACUUUACUGCCUUUAACCAGUUUUUCUCAAGAUUCAUAUCAGCGGAGGAAAGAACUGGUGUUACUUUUGAGGAUUUCGCUGGCCAAGAAUUUUUUAAGAGAGAAUAACAAGAGAUUGUACGAAUUUAAAAAAAUGAUGAGGAGUUCCAAAAUCAACAUUUUUUAUAGUUGGGACCCAAAUAUAUAUCCCAUAUAAGUAAUAACGUAUCAAAGUACAACAAAUUUCAAGCACAAGAAAUAAUGGGAUUUGGGAAACUCCCAUUUAUACAAACAAAUAUAUGUGGUGAAAAAAAGAACAUACAAUACUCAAAAUCAAGAGACUACUGAAAACACAUUAAAACAAAUCCAGUAUGCAGCAGAUAAACAAAAGGGUAUUUCAAGGAGUAGAAGGAGAAGGUGGUGGAGAAAGGAAAGGAAUAGAGGGGAUUGCAGUUGGGAUUGUGGGCAUGCUUGGCAGAGGAGGCAGUGUGGCCCUUGGUACACUUGGCAAUGUGGGCAACCCAGGCAUGGUAGGAAGUGGUGGAAGCGCCCCAGGCCUUGGCAAUACCGGUAUGGAUGGCUGUGGGAGAUUAGGAUAGAUGCCAGUGGGGGGAGUGUGGUGUAGGCAAAGUUGGCAUUGGAGGCAAUUGAGGCAGCUGCAGAAGGUGACGAGCAGCUAUCCCAACAUCAAUGCUUGCAAAAUGACAAAAGCCAUCACGAAUGCUAAAGCAAAGCAACUGAAAGAUGCCAUUUUUCUAGAGAUGUGAGUCCAAUUAAGCAGACGAAAGAAAGCUCUUGUUUUGAUAGUUGUGGAGUGAGGUAGAGAAAGCAUGGUGGUGGGGUUUAUAUAGGUCUUGGAUCAGUGGAGUUGGUAAUGUUUGAUCAUGUAUGGUUGGAAUGGAGAAAACAUAGUCAAUAUUAAAGGAUUUGGUAGGUCAACUUCCCAUGGGUAUUGGAGUUUAAAACGGGUGGAAUGCUGUUGUGGUUGGCAUAGAAGCUUCAUCCAGCCACUUAAUUAAACAGUAUACUUAAACAAUCCUCCAGGUUAGCAAAGUUUUCGCUAGUUGGCCAGAUAUCUAACAGAAUUAGGAUUUGUUUACUUAACAUGUCAGGUAUGAUACUCGUAUUUCGAAGUUGAUUAUAUAAAUAAAUUUGCCAUGGUUGAGCUUAAAAUUGUUGGGUGUUAAUAUACACAUUUGUAAAGACUUAUUAAUUUUUACUUGGAAUUGAAAUGAUUUAAACAAGAAUUUUGAAAUGACAAACAAAAUAAUUUGAAAUGACUUAAAUUUGAAGUGAUCGAGAUCUGAAAUAAUCAAAACCUAUAAUGACUAAAUCAACAUAAAAUUUCAUAUGACUGUCCUUAAAGAUAUUCACAUAUUUACGUAUCUCUCAGUAUUUAACUUGUAUCACAAGCAAUGAAAAAAUUGGGAAAAUUUACCCAUUUGAACGGAAUUUAGCUUAUUAGGCUGAAGCCUCGUGCUAUGCAUACAUAUUCUCUUAUUUUGAGUCUUACAAGUUUACAACAAACUAAAUCUAUAUAAACAUUAUUUAAUAGGUGUAUCUAAAGGAUAUGGAAUAUGUGUAAUUCUUUAAAAUACACAAAAACUUCCAAUAGGGUUUAGCUUAUUUUUGGAUUUGUCUUAUUUUACGUUCAAAUCAUUCAAAUUCGAGGCUAAGUUUUUUAUGUCUAAUCAUUUUUGAUUCAAAUUAUUUUAAGUUUUGGUUAUUUCAAGUUCGAAUUGUUUUGUGAUCAAAUCAUUUUAAGUUUAGAUUGAUUCAGGUAAAUUUAAAUUUGGAUUCUUUUAUAAUAAAUUGAGUUUGAGUUAAAGGCGAUAAUACGACGAUGUUGAUUUCUUUUAUCACCUCAAGUCUAAUUAUAUAUUGGAUUUAAUUUUUGGUAUAAAUUUUAAAAUUGUAUAUAAAUUUCAAUUUAAUUUGUAAUUGUAUGUAUGAAUUUUAAUAUAUACUUGAAUCUCUAAUUGUGGUUAAAAUGUAUACUUAAAACUUUAAUUUUGAUUUAAUUAUACACAUUUAAAGAAAAAGAUACUUCAAUUUAUUUUUAUAUUGGAUAAAUAUAAUUAUUUAUUUAUACAAUAUAUAAAUAUAAAAUAAUGUUAUAUCAAUAAUUGUGUUAAUAAUUUACAAGAACUGAAUCAAAUUAAAAUAUAAAAUUAUAAAAAAUCAAAAUUCAUGUAUAUAAUUACACAUUAUAUCAUAAUUUUAAUAUUUAUCUCUUAAUUUUUUAAUCCAAACCCAAAAAAUAAAAUAUUCCAUCCCAAAAUUUUACAUAAUUUUUUUUAUGUCAUAUUAAAUACAUGUAAAGUCGGUCAAUAAAUUACACCUAGUGACAAAGUAUUAUUCAAAUAUAAUUUCAUUGCUAAAACCUAUUUCUAUUUUUCUUCUAGUGUCUUCAACUUUAAAUAUAAACAUAGGUAUUGAAAUUUUAAGAUUUUUAUGUUAUUUGAUCUUCUCCUUUUUUUUUAAAUAAUUAAUGUUUAAUACAGGGUAAUCAGUACCGUAUUAGUAGAUGCAUAAUUUUUUUUAUUGAAAUUGAUACGUAUUAUUUUAGAUUUAUCAAUAUUUUUAAAAAAUACUCAAUAUAUAUAAAUAUAUUACAAAUAUCAAAUGAAUGAAACUAAAUAAAUUUUAAGUAUAAAAUAUUCAUUAGUUAUAUAAAUUACUCAUUAAUAAACUCAACACAUAAAAAUUUAUCAUUCAAAUAAAUUCAAAAUUAAUAAUAAUAAUCCAUCAUUGGAUAUGAAAUUUUAAGGAUUAGCUCGUUCUCUUGAUAAAAGAAGCUGAAAAGUGAACAAAUAUUUUUUUUUGAUAAUCGGGUGAAUGAUUUUUAAUUAAGCAUAUUUUAGUUUUUAUAUAUUUUUUUUGAACUAAAAUUUCAGAUUGGGCUUUAUUUAAAUAACCUGCAUUACUACACAUAUAGUCUUAAAAAGAAAAGAGAAAGAGCCCAGUUAUCAGACUUGGCCCAACAUAAAGAAAACUAAGACAAAAUUAAAUGGAAACCUAAUCGUUUAGAAACCAAAAAAAGGAAACAAAAGUCUGAAGCAAUUAAUGCUGCCGUUCUACCUGCCCAAUCAGCCUCACAGGAAAAUAAAUGUAUUGUCUUUUCAUCUUUCUUUACUUCUUCAAGACGUUUUCAAUUUACCCAAGGGCUUGCUUUAGUCACUCUGUUACCUACCCUUCUCAGACUCCCCUCCCUCCAUUUCUCCCCUUUCCUAUUUCAAUCUGGUUCUCUCACCCUUUCAUUUUUCGCUUGUCUUUCUGCAACUUCAGGGACUCUUCUGACCAGGUAAUCUUCUUUAUUACUCUUCAAUGCUUCAGUUGCUAAGAUAUGCGCGAGACUAUUUGCUAAUCUUGGGACAUGCUCAAACCUACAAUCAUUAACAUUUAACAGUAGCUGAUGAAUGUUAUGAAUAUACGCACUAACCAUUGAUUUGUCUGGGCUUUUUGCUUUGCAUUUCCUUAUUAUUGAUAAAGAAUCUCCUUCAAUAAUAACUUUUUCCCACUGCAUGUAAACGCCGAUCUGGAGUGCUUUUCGACAUACGAGUGCCUCCGCCGCAAAGGCUGAUGAAACCCGUUGGCAGACCUCCGAGCAUGAUAGGAGAACUGUACCCUCUCUGUCGCUGGCCACUAUUCCAACAUCCGCUUUAUUUUGUUUACCUUCAUAUGCUGCGUAGAAAUUGAUCUUAACAACCUGGUCAGAUGGCUUUUUCCAUUUUUUAACAGGUAUGGAAGUUAGUGGUCUAUUUUUACCAAUCCCAUUUAACUCUAUUAUGUAGCUAUGAACAAAUCUCCCUAUUUCUUUCCCAGAUUUACUCCAUUUUUUUUUCACUCUAUUAUUCCUGUCUCCCCAGAUAGCCCAUAAUGCAACGCAAAAGAUCCGACACUGGGAUGCCGAGCUUUAUGAAAAAACCCAGGUUAGCCACUGUAGAAACCCCAACUGGUUAUCUUGCAAAUACUUAUGAAAUAAUAACUCUCUCCAUACUUAUGUUGAAACAUGACAUUUACGGAAGAGAUGGUCCAUAGUUUCUGUUCCUGAGCCACAUCGGGGACAUACUGAUGUGUUUGUUAGCCUUCUAAGUAGCAUAUUAACAUGUGUAGCUAGGAAAUUCCAUGAUAUCUUCCAAGUUGUAAUUUUUAUCUUUGAAGGAAGAUCUAGUAGCCAUAGUUUUCUGUAAAAGUCCUUAUAGUCGGUUUGUAAAGCAUAAGCUCUAAGAUCAUCUUCAGUACUUUGUAAUAGUUUAUAGGCGCUACGUACUGUGUACUCACCCAACACUUCAGUACUCCAGACUUGGAAAUCUUAGUGUGGUCUUUCUGCCAGCGGGAUACUGAGGAUCAUCUCGACAACAUCUUCUGGAAAGGUAUAUGCUAUGAACUCCUUUUUCCAUGUUCUACUACUUGAAUCAAUUAACGCCGCAACUUUAAAAUCAUUCAAACCUGUUAAUCUGCCAUGUGGUAAAAGUGGAAUCCAAUAAUCACGGGUUAUCGAAAUAUUCGUACCUCUACCCACCUUCGAACACAAUCCCUCUGCUAAAAUACCCUUAGUAGCCCAAAUACUUUUCCAUGUGUACGAAACAUUAUUCCCCAACUGUGAAUUUAAAAAAUUGACUUUUGGAAAAUAUUUUGCUUUUAAGACUUGUGCUACUAAAGAGUUUGGAUUGUUCAAAAUUCGCCACCUCUGUUUAGCUAAAAGUGAGAUAUUGAAUUGAGCCAUAUUUCUAAAGCCCAACCCACCAUCUUCUUUAGGACGACAUAAGUACUUCCAUUAACGCCAAUGAAUACCUUUUCUUCCAUGCGCUUUCUGCCACCAGAAUUUAGCAAAUAUAUUUUCAAAUUCUCCACAUUUAAUAAGAAGCACGACAUUGCAUAGGAUGGAAUGGUCUGUAGCACCGAUUUAAUAAAGACUUCUUUACCUCCUUGAGAUAACAUUCUGGUACUCCACCCAUCAAUCCUAGUAGAAAUCUUUUCUUUUAACUGCUGAAAGGAUUUUUUCUUACGUCGACCAACCACAUUCGGAAGCCCUAAAUAUCGUUCUAAGUUUGUUGAGAUCCUUACCCCCUAUAUUGCCGAAACUUCUUCCUUCUUUUCUUCAUACGUAUUUGUGCUAAAAAAUAUGGUGGAUUUAUUGAAAUUAACACAUUGCCUAGAACACCUUUCAUAUUCCUUCAAAAUUUCUUUUAGUACCCUAGCACCCCUAUCUAAUGCUUCCCCGAACAAAAUACAGUCAUCUGCAAAAAGUAAGUGUGAAAUUUCUGGUCCUUUUUUGCUGGCUUUUGCACCUUUUAUUAAUCCUUCUCCUGAAGCCAUUCUCAUCAAAGAUGAUAAUCCCUCACUACAUAUCAGAAAUAGAAAAGGGCCUAGCGGGUCUCCUUGGCGUAGGCCUCUAGACGGUGAAAAGAUUCUUCCACUUCUUCCAUUUAUAUUAACUGCAUAGGACGUUGUGGAAACAUAAUUCAUAACCAGCUUCACCCAAUCGGAUGUGAAACCCAUUCGUAAAAUCACUUCCUUCAAGUAUCCCCACUCAACCCUGUCAUAGGCUUUGCUCAUAUCAAGCUUUACUGCCAUAUAUCAUUUUUUUCCUAUGCGCUUCUGUCGAAAAGUAUGCAAGAUCUCAUAAGCUAGCAGCACAUUGUCAGUUAUUAGCCUUCCCGGAACAAACGCACUUUGAGCCGCAUUAAUACAUCUUCCAAUAACUGCUUGCAUUCGGUUUACAAUUAUUUUUGCAACCAUUUUAUAAAUGACUGAACAUAAAUUGAUGGGUCUAAAAUUAGCAAUGCUUAUGAGAUUUGUGGUUUUUGGGAUCAGCACAAUGUUCGUGUGAUUUAAAUUACCUAAACUUGAGCCUUUAUUUUAAAUAUCCAAACAGAGAUUUGUUGUUUCCUUACCUACAAUAUGCCAAAAUUUUUAAAAGAAAAUGGUUGGAAAACCAUCAUGUCCUGGUGCUUUUGUAGGUCCCAUUCCCUUCAAUGCCGCAAACACUUCUUCUGCUAUAAAAGUUAUCAUUAGUCUCUAUUGAUAUCUAUCGAAAUAUUUUCCUUUAUUCCCGUUAAGAGAUAGGAACAAUCCCCGGCUCCUUUUGACGUGAAGAGCUUCUGAAAAUAGGAGGUAGCUACUUCAUUAAUCUCACUCUCUUUAUUAGCUUCUCCUCCUUAAUCUUUCUCGAACUUGGAUAUUGUAUUUAUACGUCUUCGACAUGUAGCAAAACUGUGAAAAAAGACUGAGUUCUUAUCCCUACUCUAAGCCAAUUUGCCCUUGCCCUUUGUUCCCAAUACACUUCAUCUUUAUCAAUUUUCAUAUUCAAGUGGAUCUUAGUGUUAAUAAUUUCUGCCAUCGUGUUUUCAUUCCUUUCUUUUCCCAUUAACAUAUCAAGUUGCUUCGUUAGUUUUUUCUUUAGUCCUUCUCGUCCUUUCUUAAUCAUUCUCGCCUAUACCAUUAAGUCUGCUUGUAAUUUUCCAAGUUUCUCAACUACUGUGCCUGUUCCUGACUCCCAAGAUUCUUUGAUUACGUUCUCGCACGUUUCUUCCAUCAGCCACCACGCAUCAAAUUUAAAUUUUUAGUUGCCCUUAUGAAUGCUUUCACCAUUUGUAUUAAUUAGAAUUGGACAGUGAUCGGACAUCGUGCGAGGUAGAUGGUUAACGCUAUUUGUUGAAAAAAGGAACCUCCAUUUAUCAUUUAUCACACCCCUAUCGAGUCUUUCUCUAAUAUUUGUCUCCGGUAGAUUUCCAUUUAUCAUUUAAAUCAUAAAAUCGUAUAAAAUCCAAAUUUUAAAUUUAUAAAUAAAUAUGUAUAUAUUUUAAAAAAUAUGUAUACUUGAAUAAUACUAAGAUAGAUGCAACUUAACAAGAAAAUGCCUAUAAAAUAAUAACAAAAUUAACAAUAAAAUAAGUUGUAUACAAUAUCCAAAUAAUAACAAUAAAAUAGUAGCAAAAUAAGGAGAAAACAAAAAAAAUAUCAUUAAAAUAACAAAAUAAAUAGCAGAUUUUUUUUCUCAUUUAGUGAAUUCGGACCGGACCGGAUUCAGAUAAAAAUGUCUUACCCAAGGCCUGAAUUUUCGGGUGAACUUUCAGGUCAGGCUGGGUAGCCCGGCCAUGAGCAGGUUUACUUAGUAUUAACUUAUUCUCAUCUUACGCAGACAAAAUCACUGCCACCUCAAUUGGUAGUUCCAACUUCCAAUUGCUUCUUGCUUGUAGGCAGCCUAAUGCAACAUGGCAGGUUUAACUUGGAGGCAGACUUGUUAAUUUAAACUUUAGCUUGAAAAUUUUAUUCGAUUAACUCGAAUUUAAACUCGAUUCAAUCUAAUUUGGUUAUAAAAAGUCAACAAUUUAAACAAAAAAUGAUUCAAACUUGAAAUAACUGGAACCUUAAAUGACUUGAUUAAAUAACUCUAAAUGAUUUGAAUCUAAGAUAACCUAUUUACAAACUUAAUUACCAAGACCGAAUGGCCAAAAGACGAAAUUGGCUUUAACAUGAAAUGAUGUGAAAAUUUUAAAAUUGAAUUCAUCUUGUCCAUAUCAAUCCAAUCUAAAUCUAACUCAACUCAUUCAAUUUACAAGUAUAGUUGAGGGGUGUAUACAUAGUUUCUUUAUAUAAUCAAUUCGAAUAAUAGUGAUAAUAUUGUUGAAAAAAAUAUUUAUGAAUCCCCAAAAAAAUUAAUUUUUAUAAACUGUAAAAGGGUAUAGAGAAUACUCUAAUUCUAAUUCUAAAUAUAUAUAUAUAUAUAUAUAUAUAUAAUCAACUUUGAAAGUUAUCGUCUCAUGCCAAUCGUGCUUGGGAAACUUUGCUCACUUAGAGGUUAGUCGAAUAAUACUAUUUGACAUAUUCUUAAUUUAAUUAAGAGGCUGACUUCAUUACAUGAGGUAGCUUCCAUGCCAACCACAACUACUGCAUUUCACCUAUUUUAAACUCCAAAAUCCCAUGAGAAGAUGACCUACCAAUACCUUCAAUAUUGACCAAGUUUUCUCCAUUCCAAACAUACAUGAUCAAAUAUUACCAACUCCAGUGGCCUAUUCCCACUGCUCCAAGGCCUUUAUAAACCCCAACACCAUGCUUUCUCUUCCUCACUCAAAAUCUUUCUUUCAUCAGCUUAUAAUUAGUUUCAAAAUCUCUGGACAAAAUGGGUUGUUUCAAUUGCUUUGCUUUGGGAUUCUUCGUGGCUCUGUCGCUUGCAAGCAUUGAUGUCGGGGUUGCAGCUCGUCACCUUCAGCAACUGCCUCCAAUGCCAACAUUGCCUACAACCACACUCCCACCAUUCCCAUCUAUCCCUAAUCUCCCACAGCCAUCCAUACCAUCUUUCCCAAGGCCUGGGGCGCUUCCUCCACUUCCUACCAUGCCUGCUUUGCCCACAUUGCCUACUGUACCAAGGGCCACAUUGCCCCCUCUACCAAGCAUGCCUUCGAUUCCCACAAUCCCAACUACAAUUCCCUCUAUUCCAUUCUUCUCUCCACCACCUUCUCCUUCUAGUCCUUAAAAAUCCCUUUCGCUAGGUGAUGGGUGGCUAUUCCAAUCCAGAGUCUAAUUUUUUUGUCCACCACUUAUAUUGCUUUGUAUAAAUGGGAGUUUCCCCAAUUCCCAUGUUUUUCUGUACUUUGAUAGUUAUUUUGCUUAUUAUUGGAUUAUAUACUUAUUAUAUAUAUAAUGUUUUCAUUAACUAAUUAAUUACUGAAUCCAUUGUUAACACAUGAGUUUAUGAAAGUAAGAUAAGAAUGAAACAAUAAAUAUAGACAAAAUAAAUUAAUUAUGAUGCAACGGUGAAUCAAAUCUAAAUUAUUCUUUGAGAAAGUAAACACUUGACUAAUAAACCACAAUUUAAGGUUAAACUAACUCAAAUUAUCUUGAGGUUAAACUAACCUAAAUUAUUCUUAGAGAAGAUAAACACCUGGUCAAUAAACUACAAUUUGAGGUUAAACUAAUUUACAUUUUUCAAUGUUAAAGAGGAUGAGUUUUUUAUUAGAUUUGAACCUUGAUGCUUCCUGGAGCUUUGUCACUAGGCAAUAGCUUAUUGACAAUUUUUGUAAGAGUGGGUCCAUCCAGAUCAACAGUGAAGUUGGCUUCACUAAGACUAAAAAUAAUAGUGUUAAUGAGAUUAGUUAUUAUAGUAGUGAAAUUAAAAUCAAUUUUACAGUAUAUAUUUAAAUUCAAGAACAACACUACUAGUGAGAUCAAAUUCGAAAAUCACUAUUAAGGGUGUUAAAUUAAAAUAUAUAUAUAUAUAUGAAAAAUAAAUAAAUAAAAAUUAAUUAAAAUUAUAUUUGAGUUAAACUAUAAUUAAACAUUAAAUUUAUAAAAAUACUUAUACUAUAUUUAAAUUAAAUAAUAUAUGAAAAUAUAUUAUAUUAAAUCAUAAUGAAAAUCAUUACAUUAUAAAUAAAUUGCCAUAUACCAAUGCAUACUUUUAUCGAAGAUCUAAUUCCGUAAGUAUAAAUAGGUUUAUAUCAAUGUUUUGUUAAAUCAGAUUGAUGAUCGAACCGAUUAGGCCACCAUUUCAGUCAAUCCGACCAGUUCAACCGGUCUGAUAAAAAAAUGAUUAAAAAUUAAAAAUAAAAUUUUCUUAAAUUCUGGUUCGAUCAAUUUUUUAACUAUAGUUCAAUUAGUUCAUACCCAUUCCCGAUCUAACCGGUUCAAAGUCACUCUCUGGAUCGAUUUCUUGAUCAAUUCCUAGUCCAAUCGACCAGUCCAGUUCAAACAACACUCGCCUAUACCAACAUUUUACUUAUCUGUUAAUAUAUGAUGAGCCUAUAUUAGUACAUUUUGUUAAUGUUGAUGUAAAAGUAUCUAUAAUGACAAAUUAAAUUUAAUAAUUGAGUAAAUUUUUUGGAAGAAACAGGAUAACAAUUUAUUUUACUUUUGAGAUAUGAAAUAAAAAAUUAAAUAAAAUCAAGUAUAUAUAAAAAUUAAAUUGGAUCUGAGACGAAAAAAACCUCACCAAUAUUAUCUUAUUUGUUGUUUCAAACUAAUAUUAUUUUGGUUUAAGGGAGUUUUUGUUAUUACAAAACUCCGGUAAGGAAAAUCUCGAACACACGAUCAAGUUUAACAAAGAAAAAGAAGAAAUAGGACAAGGCUCCAAGGCGUGUAUCAAGCCACUAUCUUUAAGGUUAUAUUCGCCCCCACUUAUCUUCAGUGUGCAAAUGAGUUCCAAGCAAAUUAACCUCGAGGAUACAAUGAAGCCAAUGACUAUUUGCGUUUUGCACUGACGAGAAUAGUCCACUAUGCACUGAGUAAUGUGUAACAAAAACUCAAUUUCUACAAAGGAUUUCUGCAGUAAUACUUUAUAGAAUAAUCUAAUAAUAUUAGAAAAUGAAGGAAGAGAAGAAAUAAUAUUAGAAUUUGUUGAUAUAUUUCCAAAUGAAAACCCAUUCCUAUUUAUAGGAAUUUUCUUGUCUCUUCAUAGAGACAUCUUUCAAUAGGUGUCUUUAUGAAUAAAUAUAUAAUAAUAAUAAUAAUAAUUAUUCAUUUAAUUUUGUAACUAUUCAAAUGAUAUUUUUUGAAUAAUUAUAAUUCUUUUUUAAAAAAUCAAAUGAUAUAACUUUUGACCAAUGACCAAAAGAUUUAUCUUUUGAUUAAUUACACCCAUUCAUUUAUAGUUAUUGGGAUACUAUAAAUAUUUGAAAAUGUUCCAACAAUCUCCCCCCAUUUUCAAAAUAUUUAGAUUUUGAUAUUCUUGGAAAUCAAUUUGCAUAAAUAAAGGUGUCUUACGAUUGAACCUUCACUUAGUGAAAAACAUGUUAAAGUUAAUCGAAAUUGCAUGGUAGACUAAGCUUUGAACCAACUAUUCCAUUUGAUUAACUGAACACAUCUCACACAAUGAUUUCAACAUCAGUCAAUGCUUAGUAUCUAGGGACACUAUUAUGGCCAUGUGUCUAUGUCCUCUUUUCAUGAGUGCUAUCAGAGCCAAGCCCUUAAGCUCCUAGAAGCGGCCACACUUCCACUCACAUAGGUAGAUCCCAUCAAAAGUGUUCCCGUAAUUAUAACACUCUAACAUAUUUAUGUUAUGGGUCCAUUAAGAGUAUAUUACUCAUCCUUCCAUUAUCAUUACGGGUACCUAGCACUUUAAUCUUAGGAUGAAUUUAUUUAUAGUGCUAACAGUCACAUACUAAUGAUGUACUUUGUCUCAUUGAACUCAAGACUUGACGUUAUACUAAGCGUUGAGUCGAGUUUCCAUCAUGGGUAACUCUAAUUAAUAGACUUGAGUCCCAUCCCUUUUGAGGUCCUUUUUACUGCAUCUCUAGCAAGACUUUUUGUCAAAGGAUCUGCCAAAUUUUCACUUGACCUCACAUAAUUAAUAGUGAUCACUCCAUCAGAGAUUAAUUGUCGGACAUAACUAUGUCUUAAUCCAAUGUGUCUAGACUUUCCAUUAUAUACUUGGCUAUAUGCCUUUGCUAGAGUAGCCUCACUAUCACAACGGAUAGAAAUAGGUGAAAUUGGCUUAGGCCAUAAAGGUACAUCAUAAAGCAAAUUUCUUAACCAUUCUGCUUCUUUAGAUGCAGCGGGUAAUGCAAUAAAUUCUGCUGCCAUGGUGGAAUCAGUAAUACAUGUUUGUUUCUUGGAACCUCAAGAAAUGACUCCUCCACCAAGAAUGAAGAUCCAUCCAUUAGUAGAUGCAUGAUCUUCCAAACUUGUAAUCCAACUAGCAUCCGAAUGCCCUUCUAAAACUGGAGGAUAUCCAUUAUAACACAAUCCAUAGUUAAUAGUUUUCUUUAAGUACCUAAGUACUCUAUUCAAAGCUUGCCAAUGCAAACUACUUGGGUUACUUGUGUACCUACUCAAUUUUCCAACAGCAUAUGCAAUAUCUGGUCUUGUACAAGUUAUUAUAUACAUAAGACAACUAAUUAGACUUGCAUAUUUCAAUUGAUCAAUUUUCCUUCCAGCAUUAGAUACUAAUUUUAGUUGAGGAUCCAUGGGUGUAGAUGAUGGUAUACAGUUGAAGAGAUCAAACUUUUUAAGCACAUUUUCAAUGUAAUGUGAUUGUGAUAAAGCUAUAGUGCUUUCAUCUCGGGUUAUUUUAAUCCCAAGAAUAACAUCUGCUACACCCAUAUCCUUCAUAGCAAAGUUGUUUGACAAGAAUUUCUUUGUGUUUUCUAUUUGUUCCAAAUCCGUGCCAAAAAUGAGCAUGUCAUCUACAUAUAAGCAAAUUAUGACACCCUUUCCAUUAUCAAAUUUGCUAUAUAUGCAGUUAUCGGAUUCAUUUAUUUUAUAGCCAUUAGCUAAAACAACCUUGUCAAACUUUUGGUGCCAUUGUUUUGGUGCUUGUUUAAGCCCAUAUAAAGAUUUAACAAGCUUACAUACCUUAUGCUCUUGUCCUGGAACAAAAAAUCCUUCCGGUUGCUCCAUGUACACUUCCUCUUCCAAUUCACCAUUUAAAAAUACAGUUUUAACAUCCAUUUGGUGAACAACCAAAUUAUAUAUAGAGGUAAGUGAUAUUAAUAGUCUAAUUGUAGCAAUUCUUGCUACUGGAGCAUAGGUAUCAAAGUAAUCAAUACCUUGUCUUUGUGUAAAACCUUUUGCUACCAACCUUGCUUUAAAUUUAUCAAUGGUUCCAUCGACCUUCAUUUUCUUUUUGAAGAUCCAUUUACAACUUAUUGGUUUGGAACCUGGUGGAAGAUCAACAAAGAUCCAAGUUUGAUUUCCCAUUAUUGAAUCCAUCUCAUCAUUUAUUGCUUCUUUCCAAAAAGCAGAGUCUUGAGAUUUCACUGCCUCUUCAAAUGUAAUAGGAUCAGAUUCGGUAUUAUAACAAUAAGGUAUCUUAUUGCAUAUACUUUCACCUUUUCCGUCUACAAGAAACAUAAUGAAAUCUGGUCCAAAAUCUUUUACCUUUUUAAUCCUCUUACUUCUUCUUAAUUCUUGACAAGAUUCAUCAUUAUUAUCAAUUUGAUUCAAUGGAAUCUCAUUCUCAUUUGAAGAAUGAAUCAAUUGUUGUGGUUGUAAUUGCUUGAUAUAGAAUUAAAUCUAUUUUCAUCAAAAAUAGCAUCUCUUGAUUCAAUAACAGUAUUAAUUGAAAUUGAAUCAUUUGGUUCAAUUACCAUGAACCUAUAUGCCUUGCUAUUAUGUGCAUAACCUAUAAAUAUGCAUUCAAUUCCUCUUUCACCUAACUUUUACGUUUAGGUGUUGGAACUUUUACAAUAGCUCUACAACCUUAAACCUUCAAAUAAUUAAGGUUUGGUUUCCUUUUCUUCCAUUGUUCAUAGGGGGUUAUUUUAGUUUCCUUAUUAGGAACUCUAUUCAAUAUGUGACAAGCUGUUAGAACAGCUUCUCCCCAAAAACCUUGUCCAAGACCUGAAUAUGAUAACAUUGAAUUUACCAUUUCAGUCAAGACUCUAUUUUUUCUUUCAGCUACACCAUUUUGUUGUGGUGUGUAAGGGGCUGAAACUUGAUGGACAAUUCUAGUGAGUUCAAAAUAACUUGGAUUAUAGUAUUCUCCACCUCUAUCCGAUCUUAAGCACUUGAUAAAUGAUUCACACUGAAGUUCAACUUCAGAUUUAUAAACUUUAAAUUUAUCAAGCGCUUCAUCUUUUGAAUGCAAUAAAUAUACAUAGCAAUAUCUAGAACAAUCAUCAAUAAAAGUAACAAAAUAUUUCUUUCCACCUAAUGUAGGAGUAUUAUGCAAGUCACAUAAAUCACUAUGUAUCAAAUCAAGCAAUUUUGUUUUCCUUUUAACCUUAGGGAAAGGAUUUCUUGUAAUUUUAGUCAACAUACAGGUAUUGCAUUUUUCAAUAUUAUUAUUAAAAACAGGAAUUAAAUCUAAUUUAUACAUGUCAUUCAAUUUUCUAUAAUUCAAAUGACCUAAUCUAUAAUGCCACAAACAAAAUGAUUCAACCAUAUAAGCAGAAAUAGUAUUUUUAUUCUUAUUAAUAAUAUUAAGUUUGAACAUGCUUUCAUACAUAUACCCUUUUCCCACAAAAAUUCCUCCCUUAGAUAAAAUAAACUUAUCUACCUCAAAAACAAGUUUGAAACCAAACUUAUUCAACAGACUUCCAGACANNNNNNNNNNNNNNNNNNNNNNNNNNNNNNNNNNNNNNNNNNNNNNNNNNNNNNNNNNNNNNNNNNNNNNNNNNNNNNNNNNNNNNNNNNNNNNNNNNNNUAACUUCUGGUACAUAAUAUACAUCAUUUAAGGUUAAACCCUUUCCAGAAGUGAAUUGUAGUUCAACAGACCCUUUGCCUUUAAUUGUUGCGGUGGAAGAAUUUCCCAUGUACAAGACAUUGUCAUUUUCACAUUGUGUGAACUUUGUGAACAUGCUUUUGUCUUUGCACACUUGUUUGGUUGCUCCAGUAUCAAUCCACCAUGUAUUAUCAUCUUGUGCCAUAUUAAUUUCAGAUAUCAUUGCAACGAACUUUUCGUUAUUAUCAGCCUUAGAAGAUGAUUUCUUCUUUAAAAAUCGACAUUUAUUCUUGAAAUGUCCCGGCUUUCCACAAUGAUAGCAUGAGCCCUUUUGUUUCUUUUUGAACUUAGGUGCUCUAUCAGCCUGAUUGAACUUUCUUUUGAAUGGUUUAGUAGUCUGUACUUCCUCCGUAACAUGUACUUUGGCAUUUUCAGAAUUUAGGUUCUGAUCUUGUUUUCGAUACUCUUCUUCAAUAUGAAUAAGAUUCGCCAAAGCCUCAAGAGAUAUUUCCUCUUUCUUAUGUUUUAGACUAUGACCAAGAUCACGCCAAGAUGGAGGAAGUUUGUCUAUUAUAGAGGAUACCACAAUCAUUUCAUCCAUUUUCAUAUCAUAUUGCUUAAAUUGAUUCAGCAUCUUUUCAAUAUCACGAAAUUGUUCCAUAACAGAACGACCAUCAACCAUUUGAUAAUUAUUGAAACGACUGACAAGAAAUUUUGUUACUUGUAACAUCUUCGGUCAUGUAUCUUGCCUCCAAUUUGUCCCAUAAUUCUUUAGCGGUGACGUCAUUUUGGUAGGUGUCGAACAAACCAUCAAAUAAACCAUUCAAUAUGUGGCCCAUGCACAUGUAAUCAGCAUUGUCCCAUUUUUGUCUUUCUUGGGUUGCAACAACAUAUUCGUUUUCAUUCUCUUUAGGUCUUGGAGUAUCCAAAACAUAAGCAAUCUUCAAAGUUGAUAACAAAAAGUGCAUCUUUUUCUGCCAUCGUCGAAAAUUGCCACCAUCAAAACGAUCAAGUUUAACAAAGUUAGAAGCCAACUCCCUUAGUGUUCCACUUUCAUGUGUUGUGGUAUUCAUCAUAAUAUAACCUUAAAAUUGUUAUUACAAAACUCCGGUAAGGAAAAUCUCGAACACACGAUCAAGUUUAACAAAGAAAAAGAAGAAAUAGGACAAGGCUCCAAGGCAUGUAUCAAGCCACUAUNNNNNNNNNNNNNNNNNNNNNNNNNNNNNNNNNNNNNNNNNNNNNNNNNNNNNNNNNNNNNNNNNNNNNNNNNNNNNNNNNNNNNNNNNNNNNNNNNNNNAAUAUCUUUAAUAUUGACCAAGCUUUCUCCUUUCUCAACCAUGUAUGAUCAAAUAUCACCAACUCCAGUGGCCUAUUCCCACUGCUCCAAGACCCUAUAUAAACCCCUUACACCAUGCUUUCUCUUCCUCACUCAAAACUAGCUAUUAAGAUAAAAAGACUUUGUUUCAUCUGCUUAACAGAAAUGGCAUCUUUCAAUUGCUUUGCUUUGGCAUUCUUCGUGGCUUUGUCGUUUUCAAGCAUUGACGUUGGCCUAGCAGCUCGUCACCUUCAGCAACUGCCUCCGAUGCCAACAUUGCCUACAACCACACUCCCACCAUUCCCAUCUAUCCCUAAUCUCCCACAGCCAUCCAUACCAUCUUUCCCAAGGCCCGGGGCACUUCCUCCAUUUCCUACCAUGCCUGGGUUGCCCACAUUGCCAAGUGUACCAAGGGCCACACUGCCUCCUCUGCCAAGCAUACCCUCAAUCCCCACAAUCCAACCUACAAUUCCCUCUAUUCCUUUCCUUUCUCCACCACCUUCUCCUUCUACCCCUUAAAAUGGGACCCAGUCCACAGUCGGGACAUGCUACUACUGUUCUCAUCUCAUUCAGGGUUGAAAGUGGUAGCUACAGAUCUUACAAGAUUUGAGCCGUCUUUGUAUGUUGAUUUUUGAGAACUAUUGUUUGCUUAUUUUCACCACAUAUAGGAUUUGUUUGUAUAAAUGGGAGUUCCCAUUAUUUGGUGUAUUUUGAUACGUUAUUCUGCUUACUUAUAAACUUCACAUUGUUAACAUACGAAUUUAGCAAAUGAAGAAAAGAAUGAUAAAAUAAAUUAAUUAUGAUACAACACCACAAACCAAUAAGAUCAGAAUUGAAAAUGAUUAUUAAAAAUAUUUAGUUGAAGUAUAUACAUAUAUAAUACAUUAAAUAACAAAAUACAAAUACAAGUUAUAUUUAUUUUAAACUAUAAUUAAAAAUUAAAUCUAUAAAAUACACUAUUAUAUUUAAGUUAAAUUAUAUAUUAAAAAUGUUAUAUUAAAUAAUAAUUAAAAUCAUUAUUACAUUAAAAUAAUGAUUAAUUCAGAUAAAUAUUAAAUUUAUACAUGAACUUCGUUUCAAUGUGUAAUUUGAUAUAUGAACUUUUAUUUGGUACAAUUAUAUAGAUAAAACUUAUAUUGUCGUUAAUAUGUAUAUAUGAAACUUAGAUUUUGAUUCAAUUGUAUACAUUUAAAUAAUAUUUUUUUUUCAUAUUAGAUUAAUAUAAUUAUUUACUUAUGUAAUAUCCAACGUAAAAUUGUGCUAAUUCAAUAAUGUUAUUAGUGAUUUUAGAAAAUUAAACCAAAUCAAAAUUUCAUGUAUAAAAUCGUACAAAAUAAAUCAAAAUUUAUGUAUAGUUUUGAUAUUUAUCUCUAAAAAAUUUGUGGAAUAAAAUAAAAUUUUAAUUAAUAGACUGGGGAAUGAAAAAUUAAAAAAAACUCACCAAUGAGCUUGUGUUUUAGUUGGGGUUCAAUUUUGUCUAAAGAUGUCAAUGGACCAGACCUCUAAUGACAUCCAAAGGAGCCCUUAUAAUUUGUUGUCUGUAAAAUAAUUAUAUCAUAAGACAUUAUGUAAAAUUUUCGCAUGGAACAAGUUAAGGAUUUAUUUUGGUUUUGAGAUUAAAUAAAACCACGUGUGUAUAAAAGUCAAAUUGGAGCUAAGGGCAGUGGAAAAAACCCAAGUUCUAUCAUGUUGAUGUUUGUAAAUAAUGUUUCUUUGUCGAGAUUGAGAGCAUUUUAAGAUAAAAUUCUCCAAUAAGUGUACUUCUUGAAGUUUUAAUCAUUUUUAUCCAUCCUAUCCAAAAUCAAUUUAACUCACUCUAUUUAUAAGUAUACAAGGGCGAAUUUAGGCGCUAACUAACUCAACUCAACCCAAUCCAAUUUUUGAAGAAUGUGUUUCGGGUAAUUUUAAUAAGAAAAAGUAGGAAGAUAAUUAUUUGAAAUUUUAAAUUAUAUAUAACAUAGAAAAAAGAAUAACAUAUAGGGUGAAAUACUUAAAAAUGCCGAAUUAAAAAAAAUUUAUUGGAUUAGGUCAGUUUUUGAAAAAAUUACGGAACUAAGCCGAAAUGACGAAAACUGUUCCAGCUAGAAGCGCUUUCCACAACGGUUACCCCCCAACAGCUUCCCCACCCCAACAGCUAUUUAAAUAGCAGUUGAACCCCCCUGAACUAAUGACUAUUUUUUUCCUAUAUAAACCCCUAAUUCUUUUAUUUUUUCAAUUCAAUCUCAACUCAUCUCUCUCGCAUUCUCAAACUUCUCUCAAAUUUCCCUCAAUUCCCUCUUAAUUUCUCACUCAUUUUCAUUCUUCUCUCAACUCUUCUUUUUAUUAAAAUUGUAUUAAUGUUUUUUAAAUUAUUUUUCUAUUACAAAUUAUUUCGUAUUUUUCAAAAUUAGUAACGGAAAAAUCUCUAAUUCGUUUGGAUGACAAACACAUUUCGGUCAAUCAAUUGUAAAUGGUAAAUUUUUUUAUUAUAUUAGUCUAAUUUAAUUUAAAUAUUUUCUUGUUAUACUGAAAUUUAAUAUUUUGUAUUUUUUUUAUAUAUAAUCGGAAGAUCAAAUUUUGGAGACGUAUAUUUGUAAUCUACCUGUUCCUCCAUACUUGAGAAAUACAAGAUUUUUGCACGUGGCUCGUAUGGGUAGGGGGUUUAAAUUGGACCCCACACUUGUAAGCGAGUUGGCGGAAAGGUGGAGACCCGAGACGCACACAUUCCAUCUUCCAUGCGGCGAGUGCACUAUCACACUUGAGGAUGUGCAGUUACAACUCGAGUUAUCGAUGGAUGGGCCGAUAGUGACUGGGUCAGUUGUCAUAGCCGAUUGGAGAGAUAUAUGCGAGACUAUGGGCCAAGUUAUGUGGGACUACCAGAGGAGCUUUAAGAUAUACGACUUUUGUUAGAUCAACGAUAGGAAGUGGAGGUAUAUAUUUUUUAAAUUUGAAUUAUAUAAUAUUAACAUAGUUGAUUUAAAAAUUAAUAGUAUAUAUAAUUAAAAAUUUUAUUAUUUUAAUAUAGUUUGAAUGCAUCCCGUUCGAAUUCUUGGUGAAUCCCAACAUCUGGCAUGUGAAGGUGUCAUUGGUAGUGUAUGCUAUAAUGAAGAUGCAUGAAUCAGAUAAAGUUAUGCAACAGUUUGGGUUUAGGUAAACGAUUCUGUUGACACCCCAAGACAUCGAAUAUCUGCAUUAUAUCGACUUGUGGGGGAGAAUAGAUGGAAAUUGGCCUACAUUCCACGCUUAAUAUACUAACCUUUGGAACAAUAGAUACGACUUUUUACCUACUUGCGAGGCCAUUAUCGCUCUAAAGUUAGCCUACGAUCCGGAGUACAUGCCAUGGUUUAGACACCAUGGCAAGCCAUAUCUACUAGUAGAAGAGGUGAGGGGUAGACAACGUUAUAUGAGGAGGCCACGACGGGAGCCUAGGCAUCCAAGGUCUGGAGCAGCUUUCGAGGAGAGUCCAUCAUCUACACCAACACAAGAACCGACACCGAUGGUCGCACCACCCCUAAUCAAUAUGGUUUGACUUAUUCUGGUGCUUUUCUAACCCCGUCAUUUUUACACAAGCACCACACUUGCACCACAUUUGUCUAUUUCUACAUCGAUGCCAGGUUUUAUUUUUGGACCACCACUUCCAUCUCUAGCAUAUUACACACCGAUGCAAUUGAUGUUUCAAAUGACGGCGAUUUCGACGAUGGCAUAUAGGCCAUCUAUGUUUGGGGCACCAACCGAAAGUCUGAUUGUUCUAUCAUCGGUGUGUAGGACACAAUAUAGUUAUAUGCAUACGCCGAUGGUGUCACAAACACCCAUAUUCGUAACCACCUGUUCCUAGAGUGGAUGAUAUACGAUGGCAAUUGAGGAGCACUCCACAAUCAACCUAAAUAAAUCUGAUUGAGCUCAACCUAAGAGUUAGCCAAACCUCAGUUGUAUUCGAAAAAAAUUACAAACUAAGAGUUAACCAAAUCGAGUAGUUCGAGUUUCAAUUUUGAAUCGAAUUAAAUUUUACAAUUCGAAUAAUCUGAAUACACAAUUGUUGUAAAUAUAAAAGUAAAUAAUUAUUAACUUUACAACUCAAAAAAGUAUAAAAAGUAUAAAGAAUAUAGAAAAAAACUUAAAAAAUAUAAAAAACCUUAAACCUUAAACCUUAAACCAUAAACCCCUAAACUAUAAAACACUAAGACCUACAAAAUGCUAACACUAACCCUACUUUAACAAAAACCAAAACCCUUGUCCUAAAAAAACCCUAAACUCAAAAGGAAAACACCUUCAGUUGGAAGCAUUUUCAAUGAAUGUGACAGAAAGCGUGUCUAGUUGAAAGUUUUUUUUUUUUUUUUGCAAAUCCGCUGAAAAUAUUUUCAGUAGGAAGCAUUUUCGUGUUUUUAAUCUAAUCACAUAAUUUUUCCAAAAAUCAGCUUAAUCUAGUAAUUUUUUUAAAAAUCGGCAUUUUUGAGAAAUUUACUCUAGCAUAUAUGUAUAUAAUUGAUUAGGGGACAUAGUAGGAAAGGUCUAUAAGGAAGUGUGUAGUAGAGCUGCUCAUGGGCCGGGCGGCCCGGCCCGGCCCGACGGCCCGCCCGAAAUAUGGGAGGGUUUGGGUAAAAAUAUAGGCCCGAAAUAUGGGCUUGGGCAAAAAAACGAGGCCCGAUUAAAAAACGGGCCGGGCCUCGGGCACCACUUUUUUGGCCCGGGCCCGGCCCGGCCCGAAUUUAAUAAUAAAUAUUUUAUUUUUUUAAUUUUUUAAUUUUAAAAUACUUUUAAAAUAAUUUUUUAAAUUUUUUUAAUUUUAAAAUAUUUUUAAAAUACUUUGUAUAAAAAACGGGCCGGGCCCGGGCUUAUGAAUUUUUUCCCGGGCCGGGCCUGGGCAAAAUUCUAGGCCCAUAUUUUGGGCCGGGUCCAGGCCUAGGACCCGGGCUGAAAUUUUUUUUCUAGGCCCGGCCCGGCCCGACCCAUGAGCACCUCUAUCCCAAACCCUCCCCCCUCCAAUUUUUUUUUAAUAUUUUCCCUCCAAAAUUUUACUCUCCCCUAUUUACUUUCCUUCAAAACUUUUNNNNNNNNNNNNNNNNNNNNNNNNNNNNNNNNNNNNNNNNNNNNNNNNNNNNNNNNNNNNNNNNNNNNNNNNNNNNNNNNNNNNNNNNNNNNNNNNNNNNNNNNNNNNNNNNNNNNNNNNNNNNNNNNNNNNNNNNNNNNNNNNNNNNNNNNNNNNNNNNNNNNNNNNNNNNNNNNNNNNNNNNNNNNNNNNNNNNNNNNNNNNNNNNNNNNNNNNNNNNNNNNNNNNNNNNNNNNNNNNNNNNNNNNNNNNNNNNNNNNNNNNNNNNNNNNNNNNNNNNNNNNNNNNNNNNNNNNNNNNNNNNNNNNNNNNNNNNNNNNNNNNNNNNNNNNNNNNNNNNNNNNNNNNNNNNNNNNNNNNNNNNNNNNNNNNNNNNNNNNNNNNNNNNNNNNNNNNNNNNNNNNNNNNNNNNNNNNNNNNNNNNNNNNNNNNNNNNNNNNNNNNNNNNNNNNNNNNNNNNNNNNNNNNNNNNNNNNNNNNNNNNNNNNNNNNNNNNNNNNNNNNNNNNNNNNNNNNNNNNNNNNNNNNNNNNNNNNNNNNNNNNNNNNNNNNNNNNNNNNNNNNNNNNNNNNNNNNNNNNNNNNNNNNNNNNNNNNNNNNNNNNNNNNNNNNNNNNNNNNNNNNNNNNNNNNNNNNNNNNNNNNNNNNNNNNNNNNNNNNNNNNNNNNNNNNNNNNNNNNNNNNNNNNNNNNNNNNNNNNNNNNNNNNNNNNNNNNNNNNNNNNNNNNNNNNNNNNNNNNNNNNNNNNNNNNNNNNNNNNNNNNNNNNNNNNNNNNNNNNNNNNNNNNNNNNNNNNNNNNNNNNNNNNNNNNNNNNNNNNNNNNNNNNNNNNNNNNNNNNNNNNNNNNNNNNNNNNNNNNNNNNNNNNNNNNNNNNNNNNNNNNNNNNNNNNNNNNNNNNNNNNNNNNNNNNNNNAUUUAAACUAGUAUUAUUACUUACAAAAGUUGAAAUAAAAUAAAAGUGAUACAUUUAAAAAUAAUUAUAAUUUAAUAAAAGUUGUGAUAAUUACACAUUUAAAUAUAAUUAGUCGUGCUAAUCAUAAAAUAUAGGGAAAAAUGUGAUAAUUAUAAUUAUAAUUUACGAUUAUUAAUUAAAAUAAAAUAAAAUAAAAUAAUUAUUUAAAUAGAAUUUUAAACCUAUUAAUUAUCACUUCACUGUUUGAUGAAUAUUUCGUAAUGGAUACGUUCUUUCCAUAAGGUUUUUAAUUGUUGGGUUAGAAUGAGUUUAUGUGAUAAUGUGGUGAAUGUAGUUUUGGGAGUUGGAUAACAAAAUCAUUCUACCAGCCUCUAACUUUACUGCCUUUAACCAGUUUUUCUUAAGAUUCAUAUCAGCGGAGGAAAGAACUGGUGUUACUUUUGAGGAUUUCGCUAGCCAAGAAUAUUUUAAGAGAGAAUUACAAGAGAUUGUACGAAUUUUAAAAAAUGAUGAGGAGUUCCAAAAUCAACAUUUUUUAUAGUUGGGACCCAAAUAUAUAUCCCAUAUAAGUAAUAACGUAUCAAAGUACAACAAAUUUCAAGCACAAGAAAUAAUGGGAUUUGGGAAACUCCCAUUUAUACAAACAAAUAUAUGUGGUGAAAAAAAGAACAUACAAUACUCAAAAUCAAGAGACGACUGAAAUCACAUUAAAACAAAUCCAGUAUGCAGCAGAUAAACAAAAGGGUAUUUCAAGGAGUAGAAGGAGAAGGUGGUGGAGAAAGGAAAGGAAUAGAGGGGAUUGCAGUUGGGAUUGUGGGCAUGCUUGGCAGAGGAGGCAGUGUGGCCCUUGGUACACUUGGCAAUGUGGGCAACCCAGGCAUGGUAGGAAGUGGAGGAAGCGCCCCAGGCCUUGGCAAUGCCGGUAUGGAUGGCUGUGGGAGAUUAGGGAUAGAUGGCAGUGGGGGGAGUGUGGUUGUAGGCAAAGUUGGCAUUGGAGGCAAUUGAGGCAGCUGCAGAAGGUGACGAGCAGCUAUCCCAACAUCAAUGCUUGCAAAUGACAAAGCCAUCACGAAUGCUAAAGCAAAGCAAUUGAAAGAUGCCAUUUUUCUAGAGAUGUGAGUCCAAUUAAGCAGACGAAAGAAAGCUCUUGUUUUGAUAGUUGUGGAGUGAGGGAGAGAAAGCAUGGUGGUGGGGUUUAUAUAGGUCUUGGAUCAGUGGAGUUGGUAAUGUUUGAUCAUGUAUGGUUGGAAUGGAGAAAACAUAGUCAAUAUUAAAGGAUUUGGUAGGUCAACUUCCCAUGGGUAUUGGAGUUUAAAACGGGUGGAAUGCUGUUGUGGUUGGCAUAGAAGCUUCAUCCAGCCACUUAAUUAAACAGUAUACUUAAACAAUCCUCCAGGUUAGCAAAGUUUUCGCUAGUUGGCCAGAUAUCUAACAGAAUUAGGAUUUGUUUACUUAACAUGUCAGGUAUGAUACUCGUAUUUCGAAGUUGAUUAUAUAAAUAAAUUUGCCAUGGUUGAGCUUAAAAUUGUAAAUAAAUUGCCAUAUACCUUUAUCGAAGAUCUAAUUCCAUAAGUAUAAAUAGGUUUAUAUCAAUGUUUUCUUAAAUCAGAUCGAUGAUCGAACUGAUUAGACCACCAUUUCGGUCAAUCCGAUUGGUUCAACCGGUCUGAUUAAAAAAUAAUUAAAAAUUAAAAAUAAUUUUUUUAAACUCCGAUUCGACUAGUUUUUUAGUCAGUUUAAUCGGUUCGUAGUGAUUCUCGAUCUAAUCGGUUCAAAGUCACUCUCCGUAUUGAUCUCCCGAUCAAUUCCCAAUCUAAUCGACUAGUCCAGUUCAAACAACACUGGUAAAUACCAACAUUUUACUUAUCUGUUAAUAUAUGAUAAGCCUAUAUCAAUACAUUUUGUUAGUGUUGGUAUAAAAGUAUCUAUAAUGAGAAAUCAAAUUUAAUAAUUAAGUAAAAUUUUUGGAAGAAACAAGUUAACAAUUUAUUUUACUUUUGAGAUAUGAAUUAAAAAGUUAAAUAAAAUGAGGUAUAUAAAAAUCAAAUUGGAUCUUAGACCAAUAAAAACUCACCAAUAUUAUCUUAUUUGUUGUUUCUAACUAAUAUUAUUUUGGGAGUUCUAACUUUCAAUUUUUUCUUUUUGCUUGUAGGCAGCCCAAUACCAAUGGUAAGUUUAACAAGAAAGGUAAACAUGCCAAUUUUGAUUUUGAUCCAAUCUGAUUUCACCAUAAAAGCUUAAUAAUUUUAAUUUCUUCAACUUAAAUUUAAAUUGAUUUGAAUUCAAAACAAUUUAAAUUUAAAAUGAUUUAAUUCUAAAUAACCAAAAUUUAAAAUGAUUAGAGCUCGAAAUAAAUAGACCAAGUAACUUAGAAUAACUUAAACUUGAAGUAACCAUAACUCAAAACAAUCUAGACCUAUAAUGACUUAACUCAAAAACUAAGCCUCUUACUGAAAUGACUUAAAGCAAACCAAACUUGAAAUUGAUAAACCCGAAAUAACUUGAAAAUUUUAAAAUCUUAAUUAACUUGAUUUAAAUUAACCUGAUCCAAAACCAAAUAAAUAUGCACAACUAAAAAGCCAUCUAGAUUAAUGUCCAACAAGUUAAUUCAUGUUUAAAAUAUUUGACAUAUUUAAGUAAACAACCCUAUGUCGGGCUACAUAACAGGCAAUUGGCUGAAACAUUGGUAAGCAGGAGGAUUAAUUUGAUCAGCUAACUUAAGACGCUAUUAAUUUAAUUAAGAGGCUAACUUAUUACAUGAGGUAGCUUCCACGCCAACCACAACAACUGCAUUUCACCAUUUUUAAACUCCAAUAUCCAUUAGAAGAUGACCUACCAAAUAUCUUUAAUAUUGACCAAGCUUUCUCCUUUUUCAACCAUGUAUGAUCAAAUAUCACCAACUCCAGUGGCCUAUUCCCACUGCUCCAAUACCCUAUAUAAACCCCUUACCCCAUGCUUUCUCUUCCUCACUCAAAAGUAGCUAUUAAGAUAACAAGACUUUGUUUCAUCUGCUUAACAGAAAUGGCAUCUUUCAAUUGCUUUGCUUUGGCAUUCUUCGUGGCUUUGUCGUUUUCAAGCAUUGACGUUGGCCUAGCAGGUCGUCACCUUCAGCAACUGCCUCCGAUGCCAACAUUGCCUACAACCACACUCCCACCUUUCCCAUCUAUCCCUAAUCUCCCACAGCCAUCCAUACCAUCUUUCCCAAGGCCUGGGGCGCUUCCUCCACUUCCUACCAUGCCUGCUUUGCCCACAUUGCCUACUGUACCAAGGGCCACAUUGCCCCCUCUACCAAGCAUGCCUUCGGUUCCCACAAUCCCAACUACAAUUCCUUCUAUUCCAUUCUUCUCUCCACCACCUUCUCCUUCUAGUCCUUAAAAAUCCCUUUCGCUAGGUGAUGGGUGGCUAUUCCAAUCCAGAGUCUUAUUUUUUUGUCCACCACUUAUAUUGCUUUGUAUAAAUGGGAGUUUCCCCAAUUCCCAUGAUUUGCCGUACUUUAUACUUAUUUUGCUUAUUAUUGGAUCAUAUACUUAUUAUAUAUAUUGUUUUCAUUAAUUAAUUAAUUACUGAAUCCAUUGUUAACAUACGAGUUUAUGAAAGUAAGAUAAGAAUGAAACAAUAAAUAUAGACAAAAUAAAUUAAUUAUGAUACAAAGUUUUAGUUUACUAAUGCUUCACCUGCAAUUAGUUUACAUUUUCUUUUACAAUUCAAAUCCAAAUUAUUCUUGGAGAAAGUAGACACCUGACUAAUAAGUCACAAUUUAGGGUUAAACUAACUCAAAUUAUUCUGAGUUUAAACUGACCUAAAUUAUUCUUUGAGAAGCUAAACACUUGACCAAUAAACUACAAUUUAAGAUUAAACUAGUUUACAUUUUUUAAUGUUAAAGAGUGAAAAAAUAGAAUGUCGGUAAUAACAAUAUAUCACAAAGAAAAAGAGAGAAAAAUAAAGAACACAAAUUUUACGUGGAAACCCUUCUGGGAGAAAAAUCACGGGCAGAGGAGAGGAUAAUUUACUAUGUCGAAUUUGAAUGAUUACAAGAGGAGUAGACUAUGUCUAUUUAUAGGCUUGUAAAACCAUAUUCUAAUAGGAGCGUAGUAAGAUUGAAACGCCUUAUUCUAAUCAAUAUCAAAUAGAUGGAGCUUAAUAAGGUUUAAAAAACCUUAUUCUAAAAUAAAAUAAAAGAAGUGUAGUUCUAUUUGGAUUUUACUUUUAUUUUAUUUUACCAAUAUAUUUUAUUUAAAUAAGGAUUCGAGUCACUUAAUUCUAACAAAGAAGAUGAGUUUCUUUUAUUAGACUUGAACCUUGAUGUUUAAAGAGGUUUGUCAUUAGGCAAUAGCUUAUUGACAAUUUUUGUAAUAGUGGGUCAAUCGAGAUCAACAGUGAAGUUGGUUUCACUGAAACUAAAAAUAAUAGUGACAAUGAGAUUAUUUAUUAUAAUAGUUGUCGAAACCAUUUUUUAUUUGAUUUGAAAAUGGGGAUCGGCUUUAAAAAUGGAAAUGGAGUCGCCACCGAUAUUUUAUUAGGGUGUGACCGGUUCACCAUUAAAAAAUAAUUUUGGUCUGCGAAAUUUCGAGAAAAUAGAUUCGGGAGUCGAUUACGCACGAGGAAGGGUUAGCACCCUCGUAUGCCCAAGAUUGGUACCGAAUUGAUUGUUUGAUGGCUUAAUGUCAAAACUUUGAAAAGAUUUUAAAAUACGAUCCUUUGGUGAGAAAACUUGAAUAAACUAAAUUGAAUGAUAAGACGCACUUAUUUCGCAGAAAUAAAUUGCUACACUCAGUGAGUUAGUGUGUAAAAAUUCAAUCAUCGAAAUUAAAUUUGUCUCUCCUUUUUUAGAAAAUCAUGUGUUUUAAUAAGUUAUUCGAUUAUUUAAGUCAAUCGAGAAAUCAAAGUCCAGUAAGUUAGGGUUCAAUUCCUCGAAAUUCCUAAACAUCAAACAUUGCCUUUAUUUUAAAAUCGAGAUAACAAAAUGUUGUAUUCAGUAAGUUAGGAUCCAACAUUUUGAAGUCUCAAGAGCUUUAUUUUAAAGUUGUAUGGUUUUACCAAAAUAAACACUUGGCUAUUCAAAUUCAUCGAGAAGAAUUGAAGCCCAGUAAGUUAGGGUACAAUUCUCUCGAGAGCUAUGAACACCAAGCAUUUUUUGAAAAUCAUGACAUAAAAUGGUUUUGGUACUCUAAUGAAACCGAAUAUUAAAAAAAUGCGAUGGGAUGCUAAUGUACAACAUGAAACAAUGAUUAAUAGGCUAAAGUAUACUAAUAAUCAUGAGUAAUCAAGAAAUGCGAAUAAACAAUAUAAAAUCUAUGCGGGCAAUAAUAUCCAACACGCAUCAUGCAAAUACAAAUAUCAACAUUCAACAACUAAAUGAAUUAAUAGUCAAUUUUAAAAGAAAUGACAUAAAAAAAAUAUAAUAAGUUUUCAACUAAAACAAAAUGAAUAUUGAAAUAUAUCAAAAAGGUUAAAAAGGAAUACUAUAUGAAAUAAUAAUAUAAAAAUAAAUUUUAAAAUAAUUAUUGUACGAAAAGAAACUCAAAAUAAUAUAUAUGCUAAUUUAAAUAAACGAUACAUACAAAAUAAAAAUUUUUAUAAUAGUAUAUGUAUGGUAAUAUAUGUACAAAAAUUGAAGUAAGUAAAGUAUAUAAGGGAGUUUAAAAGAAAUAAAUUGUAUAUAAGAUUUAAAACAUAUAUACAAAUAUAUAUUUCAAAACAAGUUAGAAUUACAUACAUGAAAGUAUCAACACAUAACUUUUUAUAUUUGGAUGGAAAAGAAAAGAAAGUUUGAAAAACAUUAUAAAGUUAUAGAAUGUACAAACUAUAUCANNNNNNNNNNNNNNNNNNNNNNNNNNNNNNNNNNNNNNNNNNNNNNNNNNNNNNNNNNNNNNNNNNNNNNNNNNNNNNNNNNNNNNNNNNNNNNNNNNNNGGUUAUAAUUAAAAUAACUAAGUAUGGUACGUUUAGAUAAUAUUAGUUUAAAAUAAUAGUAUAUUAUAUUUUAAAUAAUUCUAAUGAUAAAUUUUAAAACAAUAUUAAAACUUAAAUAUUCAAAUAAUGCUAGGUUUAUAACUAAAUAUAUACUAAAGACAACAAAAUCAAAUAAAAUUUUAGAAAAUGAAUAAAUUAAAUUAUGGAUUAAAUCAGAUUCAAAACCAAAAUCAUAAGGAAAAUCAGAAAAUAAAAUAAAAUUAAAGAACCAAAAUGGAAUGUGCGUAUUUCAUAGGGGACCAAAUAGGCAAUAUUCCCUAUUCCUCAAAACGCAUUGCAACAGUAUGGGCCAGAACGAAACAACAUUGAAAAUGUGGAGCGAAUUUUGAAAAAUAAAUAAAAUAAAAGAGCACCGAUUUGAAAUUUGUUUGAAAUUAAAGGGUCUAAUGCAACAAUUAAGCGCACCAGUCUAGGAAGCCAGGUCAGAUCCUUGAAAACAACGUCGUUUUGGACGUAUGUCUCCUCAACUGAUGAGUGGAUGAAAUUGAAAACAAAAUAAACCUAUAUGGCCAAAAUUAAAAGAACUGAAAGGGAUUAGAUCAAAACAAAUUGAGAGAACAGGAGGACUCAAUGCGCAAAUAAACCAUCAGUAUAAAGCACGCGGAUCCUCCUUCUUGAAUCGGGUCGGGUCAUCGGGUCUAGGCACCAAACGGUGCCGUUUUUGAAAAAGUUUAAAAACUAAAAAAAGAAACCCUAAAUCUAAAGGUUUUCAUUUGAAAUGGUAGGAGGAAGGCAGAGAGCCGCUUGGUUUUUCAGUUUCUGUCGCAGCUCCACCCUUCAGAUCCCCAUCUGCUCCGAUUGCGACGAGAGAGAUAGGGAUCCGACCGUCGCACUAUGAAGGUAAACUCUCCUCCUUAAGCCUCUUUUUAUUAUCUCUAUAUGUAUGUGACCCAAAAAAGAAAAAAGUAAGAAGAGAAUACAUAAAGAAAAACGAAAAAGAACCACCUUAGAAAAAUUCCAUCGAUAUUUGAUUUCUCUGUUUUUUGUAUUUCAAUAUGUCUUUUUUUUACAUUCGAUUUUCUCUCCAUAUUUUUUUAUUUUUCUUCUAUUCAAUAUGUGUGUGUACCGUUUAUAGGGGUGUGCAAAAUUCGGUUAACUGACCGAAUUCGGUUAAUCGGUCGGUUAAUCGAAUUUUUUCGGUCGGGGGUCGGUUAAUUAUUUUUUAAUUUUUCGGUUAACGGUUAAUUCGGCUCGAAACCGGUCGGUUAACCGAAUUUUUUCGGUUAACUGAAAAAAUUAAUAAAUAAAAUUAUAAUAUAUAAAUAAGCCCACUAUUCACCUAAACCCAAGUAUUCAACCCAACCCAACCCAAUCAUAAAAUUAAAUACAAAUAAUUUAUUAAAUAAAAAUAAAAUUUUAAAACUAAGACUAAAACUAAAGUCUAAAAGUCUAAAAAUAAUUUAAUUAUGUAGUGAUUCAAUUUGGUUAAUUUGGUUAAUUCGGGUAAUUCGGUUAAUUCUGUUAAUUCGGUUAAUUCGGUUAAUUUUUAACCAAAAAUAAAAAACAUAUAAUUUUCGGUUAACCGACCGAAUUAACCGAAAAAAUUUCGGUUCGGUUAAUUUUUUUGAAAAAAAUUUCGGUUCGGUUAACAGUUAAAGAUUUUGAAAGGUCGGUUAAUUCGGUUAAUGUUAUUUCGGGUCGGUUAACCGGUCGGUUAACCGAAUGAACACCCCUAACCGUUUACAGAUUCUUAAAUCGGCCUUUAUAGCCGAAAAUGAAAAAAAGAAAAUAAAAUCAAAAAAAAUCAAAAGAAAUCUGUCCUUUUUCAUUUACUGUUGAUUUCUGCUCUUUUUGUUUGCUUGUCGUUCUUGCAGGUACGACGUACGCGCAGCGUGUGGCAGUGUGUGAAGGCUGUACGGAGGCGUGCGUGGCUGGGGAGAACGGCGCUGGAAGCUGCUAGGGUUUUAGCCUCUGAUUUUGCGUUGGGCCGCUUCGUGAUUGGGCUAGGGUCUAGGCAAAUUGGGUUUAAAUUUUAAUGGGCCCUAGUGAAUUAGCAAUUUGGGCCUGAUGUUGGGUAGUUUAGGUAUUGGGUUUCUGUUAAUUGGACUUUGGGUAUGUAAUUUUGGUUUUUUUUUAAAUUGGGUUAAUGUAAUGGACAUUUGGACUUUUAAUUUUUUUAUUUUUAUAUUUGGGUUUUAAUAUCUGUAUUGGGCUGGGCAAAAUUUGGGUAUUACAAUAGUGAAAUUAAAAUCAACUUCGUAGUAUAUAUUUAAAUUCAUAUGCAACACUACUAGUGAGAUCAAAAUUGAAAAUAACUAUUAAGGAUGGUGAAUUGAAAUAUAUGUAUAUGAAAAAUAAAUAAAAAAACAAAUUAAUUAAACUUAUAUUUGAGUUAAACUAUAAUUAAACAUUAAAUUUAUAAAAAUACUUAUAUUAUAUUUAAAUUAAAUAAUAUACAAAAAUAUAUUAUAUUAAAUCAUAAUGAAAAUCAUUACAUUAUAAAUAAAUUGUCAUAUACCAAUGCAUAUUUUUAUCGAAGAUUCAAUUCCGUAAGUAUAAAUAGGUCUAUAUCAAUGUAUUAGUAUACACUCAUCUAUAUCUAAUAUAUUUUCCAACUUAAUUUAACUUUAAUUAAAUUACUUAAAAUAGUUAAUUUUUUGAAUUAUAAGCAAACAUUGUUUCUUCUUUUGCAAAUUUUAAUCAUGUUGUUUUUCCCCCCAUAAGUUAAUAUUUUUUUUAUUUUUGUCCAACCAUUUUUUUUAAAAAAAAUUAGUAAUUUUUGCGUAAUUUUUUACAUGUCAUUAACACAUAAAUUUGGUAAUUAUUUUAUCUUGAUCCCCGAACCAAAAAUCCUGAACCUUGAACUCAAACCAUGAACCUUAAACCUUGAACCCUAAACCCUAAAGUUUAAGGUUUAAGAUUUAAGGUUCAGGAUUCGGUUUUGGGUUUGGAGUUGAUAGUUUAGGGUUUUAAGUUUGGGAUUACGGUUCAAACGUUCAAGGUUACAAGUUAUGAGUUACGAGUUUGGAGCUUAUGGUUUAAGGGUUCAUGGUAAUGGGUUCAAGUUUAGUGUUUGGGCUUAGGGUUUAGGGUUCAUAAUUUUGAGAUUUUAGAUUUAAGGUUUAGGGGAAAAAAUUACCAAUAUUGUGAUAAAUAAUUUUGAUUAUAAAAAUUUACAUUUCAACAAAUUUUUUAUGUCAUUGCCACAUAAAUUUGAUAAAUUUUUUACCACAAACACUAAACCUAGAAUCUCGAACCCAAAACCUAGAAAUUGAAACCCUAAACUCGAACACAUAACCAUGAACACUAAAUCUAGAAUCUCAAACCCUAAACCAUAAACCCUAAAUCUUAAACCAUAUACCCUACAAAUAUAACCCUAACCAAACCCUAAACAACAUAACAAUAAACCAUAAAUUAGAACCCAUAACACUAAAUCCUAAAUCUAGAACUUGAACCAUAAACCCUAAACUCGAACCCAUAACCCUAAAUCAUAAGCCUAAAAUCUCAAACCUUAAAUAAUUAAAUUAAAACCACAAACGCUAAACUUAAACACAAUCAUAAACCAUAAACCCUAAACACUUAAUCUAGAAUAUCAAUCCCUAAACCUAAAAUAUAAAAGCAAAAACCCUAAACUGAAAAUAAUAACAUUUAACAAUUAAACUUUAAACCCAAACCCUAAACCUUAAACUCUAAAAUUAAUAACAAUAAACCCUCGAGCACUCAAACCCAUAACCAUCAACCUUAAACCAUAAAUCAUGAAUCGUAAAUCUAAAAUCUCAAAACAUGAACAUUAAAAAUAUAUAAUCAUAAACCAUAAAUCAUUAAACCUCAAACCUAAACUCAAACAUAUAACCUAAACCCUAAAUGCUAAACCUCAAACUCAAAAUCUAAAAUCUCAAAUCUUGAACCCAAAACCCUAAAGCCCAAACCAUAAACUUAGACUAAUAACCAUAAAUCCCAAACCAUAAACCCAAAACCUAGAAAAUCAAACCUUAAAUUGUAAACUCAAAAAUUAAUGUCUAUAAACCUUAAACCAUUGAACCCAUAACCAAGAAUCCUAAACACUAAACCCUAAAUACAAAAUCUAGAAUCUCAAACCCUAAACCCAAAACAUAAAACCUUAAACAAAAAAUUUAAACACAAAACCUAAACUUCAACCCAUAACCUUGAAUUCUAAACAUUAAACAUUAAACCAUGAACUUUAAAUCUAAAAUCUCGAACCCUAAAUCUAAAACAUAAAACCUAAAACCCUAAACUUAAACAUAAAACUAUAAACCAUAAAUUUAGAAUCACAAACACUAAACCCAAAGAAUAGAAGCCCAAACCCUAGACUCAAACAUCUAACCAUAAACACUUAAACCCUAAACCUAAACAAUAAACAAUAAACCAUAAAACCUCAAUCACAUAACCGUCAACCCUAAACCUAAACCAUAAACCAUUAACCUUAAAUCUAGAAUCACAAACCAUGGACCAUAAUCACUAAAAUCUUAACCCCAAAAUGUAAACUCAAGCCCAUAACCUUGAACACUAAACUCUAAACCAUAAACCCUAAACUAGAACAUAUAACCUUAAACAAUAAACUAUAAAAUCUAAACUUUAAACCUAAAACUUAAACCCUAAACCUUUAAAUUAUAAACCCUAAACCUAGAAUCUCAAACCAUAAACCAUAAACAUAGAAGCCUAAUCACUAAACCUUAAAGCCAUAACCCUAAAUAUUAAACCAUAAACACUAAACCCUAAAUCCUAAGCCCAAACCUUAAACUCAAACCCAUCACCCUAAACCCCUUUAACCAUAAACCCAAACUCUAAACUAGUAAACCAUAACCACAAAACCUUAACUUUAAACUCAAAUCUUAAACCUUAAAUCCCAAACCUUAAACUUUAGGAUCCAAGGUUUGAGUUUAAGGUUUGAGAUUUUGGGUUCGGGGUUCAAGGUAAAAUAAUCACUAAAAUUAUGUGUUAUGACUUGGAAAAAUUGCACAAAAAAGUACUAUUUUUUUAGAAAUUGGUUGCACAAAAAAAAAUAACUUAUAGAAAAAAAUAGAAUGAUUAAAAUUUACAAAAGAAAAGAAGAUGCUUGUUUAUAAUUUAAAAAAUUAAUUAUUUCUUUAAUUUAAUUAAAUUUUAAUUAAGUUAGAGAAGAUAUUAGAUAUAGAUGAGUGUCUAAUAAUACUUUGUUAUAUUUAAAAUUGUAUGACAUGCCACUAUUUUAUUGGUGCCUAAAAGCUAUACUUUUUAGGAUCAUCCUAAUAUAUAUUAUUGCUUAUGAAAAUAUAUUAUAUUAAAUCAUAAUGAAAAUAAUUACAUUAUAAAUAAGUUGCCAUAUACCAAUGCAUACUUUUACCAAAGAUCCAAUUCUGCAAGUAUAAAUAGAUCUAUAUUAAUGUUUUCUUAAACUGGACUGAUGAUCGAACCAAUUAGACUACCAUUUCGUUAGUUCGAUCGGUUCAAUCGGUCCGAUUAAAAAAUGAUUAAAAAUUAAAAAUUUAAUUUUUUAAACUUCAAUUCGACUAGUUUUUUAGCUAGUUCAAUUGGUUCGUAUCAGUUCCCGAUCUAACCGGUUUAAAGCCACUCUCUGAAUCGAUCUCCUGAUCGAUUCCCAGUCUAAUCGAUCAGUUCGGUUCAAACAACACUGGUUUAUACCAAUAUGAACCUAUAUCAAUACAUCUUGUUACUAUUGGUAUAGAAGCAUCUAUAAUGACAAAUCAAAUUUAAUAAUUGAGUAAAAUUUUCGGAAGAAACAAGUUAACAAUUUAUUUUAAUUUUGAGAUAUGGAUUAAAAAGUUAAAUAAAAUCAGAUAUAUAUAAAAAUCAGUGGAUCCCAUACGAAGAAAAACCCACUAAUCUUAUCCUAUUUGUUGUUUCUAAUUAAUAUUAUUUUGGUUUAAGGUAAACCUGCCAAUUUUGACUUAAUUCAAAAAAUAUUAAUCCGAUGAAUUUGAUCCUAUUUGAUUUGUGUUAGAAUCAUAAAUAAUAUCUAAUAUAAAAUUAGAACUGUAAAUCAGGAUCUGUCAUGUCAAAUCAUCAAGAAUAAAUCAAGAACAAAACUAAAUGAGGAAGCAUACCUGAAUUCAUCGAUUUCUUAAAAUCUACGGAUCUUGGGGAUUUGAUAUUCCAAAUUAGCACACAAGUAAUCUUGAGAAGGUGGCUCUUUCUUUUCUAAAGAUGGGAACUAGAAAAGUUAUCUUGUGUGUAAUUUGGGGACCAUAGCCCUAAUAUAUAAUUUUGACACAUUUUCCCUAAUUUCUAAUCAACCCAUCAUUAAUUAGAAAUUAGUUACAAAAGUAUCUAUACAUAUUUGACCCAUACUUUAUUUAAUAAUUAAAGCCCAAUAAACCUUAACCAAAUUAGAUCACUUUUGAUUUGGGCUAACCUGUUAUGAUAGUAAAUAAUAACAUGUAAUUACCCUUAUUAUAUAUGUGAUGUCUAUAUUUUCCAACAAUCUCCCACUUGGACCACAUAUAUAUACUAAUUACUCUAUAAUUACAUGCCAUUAUAUAACCUUAUGUGAUCAAAACGUUACUAUCAUAUCCAAAUGGUAUUCCGAACAAUUUCCUCCAUUAAUUAUGUUAACAUAGAACCAAGGCGACUUUCGUUACAUAUAUCGUAAUUAAAUCCAUCCCUGAUCACAUAUAUUAACACAACCAAAUGACAUAGAUCAAAUAUGGAUGUGUAGCAUGGAAAUUACAUGCAAUAUGAUCUAAACAUGUCUAUUUCCAACUGGUCCUCGUUAACCUUAGUGAGAUCAAACUUUACCAAAAUCAAAGUGUGAAUAAACCAAAUAAACUUUAUUUCUGCAAAAAAUAAACUUAAUAUCCGUAAACUGAAAUAACUGAAAAUGUGUCUAUAACACAAAAGCAUUUAAAAGUACAAACUCUCACUAAAAUAGAAUAUUCUUAAAUGACAUUACACCCAUAUGAGCAGUGUGCUAUUAUAAAACCUUAGGUGUAGUCCCUUAGUAAGCGGAUUCAAAAUCAUGGGGUUUGUACUUUUACUUUUAUAGGCACGUAACCACUUUGAACUUUUACUUUAACAACCAGGAACUUAAAGUCUAUGUGUUUUGACUUUGAUGUGCUCCUAUUGCUAUUGGAAUAAAAGGCUGCAACUUGUUUUCACAAUUUGCACAUUAGUGACAAAAUCUUUUACCUAUAUUCCAUCAAAAUUGAAGUCUGUAUACCUGAUGAUCUCUAACUAAUUAGACCUCUUAUAUGUGAGCAUGUAAUAUUUUGUUCUCUGAAAAUACCUUAUAAACCUCUUGGAUGCUAUCCAAUAGUCCAAACCACGGUUGCUUAAAAUAUCUGCCUAACAUCCCAACAGUGUACACAAUAUUCCAAUGUAUACAAACUUGAACAUAUAUUAGACUUCCCACUGCUAAAAUAUAAAAAAUCUUAUGCAUUUUUGUAAUCUCAAAAUCAUUCUUAGGGCAUUGAUUGAGACUAUACUUAUUAUUGACAAGAAGUAUGUCAUUAACAUAUAAAACCAAAUAUAGAACCUUACUCCCACUAAACUUAUAGUAUAUACAAUUAUUGACAAAAUUCAUCUCUAAACUGAAUGAGAUAAUCAUUUGGUAAAAUUUGUAAUACUAUUGACGGGAUGUCUGCUUAAGCAGAUAGGUAAAGUUCUUUAAUUUGCAAAUCAUUAACUUUGCAUCAUUAGACACAAAGUUUUCUAGUUGCACCAUAUAAAUGAAUGAUCAAUGUUACCAUUGAGAAACCAUUAACUUAAUAUUCAUCUGAUGCAGCUUAAGUUUAAAAUAUUCCAUUAAAUCUAUUAUAAUCCUUUCUCUAGUGGACCUUUUUAAUGACAUUCAUUCUUGAGGUUGUUGAGUUUGUUUUUUGGAACAAUUACUUCAUCUUGAAUAUGGAGUUGUUCAACAUUGUCUUGUUGAGGUUCUAGAUUCACUUCUUGUUUAUUGAUAGGUAUGAGAACUUGAGCAUCGUCAAAAGUGAUAGUAGUAACUGAGUUAGAAUCUAAUUCCUCCUUAAAAGUAAUGUCUCUAACUUUAUUUCUCCCUCCAAACUCAACAUCUUAAAAAAAUGUUACAGUUAUUGUCUAAAAAAUAUUCCUUAUUGUGGGAUCAUAAAACUCAUAGCCCCUAAAUUGCUCAAAAUAACCAAUAAAGUAGUUGUUUACUAUUUUGGAGUCCAAUUUCUUUUCAUGUGGCCUAUAAGGCCUUAGAUUAAGUGGACAUCCCUAAAUGUGAAAGUGCUUUAGACUAGGUUUUCGAAUUUUCCAAAGCUCAUAAGGUGUUUCUACAACUACUUUAAUGGGUAUUCUAUUCAAAAUGUAAGUUGUUGUCUUUAGAGGCACUGACCAAAUGAGCACUUUCACACUUAUCAUGUUUCAACCUUUCUUCCUUUUACACACAAUAAGAAAUGAGCUCAUUUAGAAUCUAUUUCUCCUAUUGAUAGAUGUAACCAAUUUUAAAUUGGUUAAACUGUGCAGGUAGUGAUACCAAAACUAUAAGAACAAGCAAUUCCUCAGAAAGCUCGAUCUUAAGUGCCUUAAGUUUUGAGGCAACAUGAAAUAUCUCCAUAAUGUACUCCCCUAUGUUUCCUUGACCCUCAUACUUCAUAGACAUCAAAGAAUUCAGAAAUGAUGUUAUCUCAACCUUAUUAUUUUUAGCAAAACGUUUCUCAAUUUCGUCAAGUAAACACUUUGCCUGAGUAAUCUUUUCAGAUUCUGUGCCCCUAAAGGCUUCCAGAAUGCUGUGUUUCAUGAUCAUUAGGCUCAUGCAAUUUGAAUGAUCCCACCUCUCAAAAUAUCUUUUUACCAUUAGGGGUGUUUCUCGUAGUGCGAAGACCUCUCAAAAUCUCUUUUACCAUCAGGGGUGUUUUCCGCAGUGCGAUGUGCAGGUUGUUCUUCCCUUAGUGCAAGACCUAUGUCCAUACAACCAAGCACUAUAGGUAAGUGCCUUUUCCAUUCGUUAAAAUUAGUCUAAACAUGGGUAUAGAAUUCAUAGAUAUUGUGGCUGCAAAAGAUAAACUAGUUGAAUCCAGAACAAAAUAGAUAAAAAACAAGUUCACAUUAAUAUUCAUAAGUAAACAAUAAAUUCAAAAUAAUUGAUAAGUUAUAAAAGUAACAUAUUUUAGUCACAUUUUUAAUGUAUUUUUGGAUGAUUAAUUAUGCAAAUUAGUGAAUUUGGUGUUCCUAAUCCUUUAAGUUCAUGUUUCUAUACUUAAGAGAGUAAUUGGGAGUGGAAAGAGCAAAAAAUGAGCCAAAGUCGGACAAAUAGAGCUAUUUUCAGGAGCCACACGGCGUAGGCAUUUCCACACGGGCUGGACACAUGCCUAUGUGAUAGCCCGUGUCGAUUUCGCAUCCUAGUUCCCAAAUACGCGAAAAAACCCAAUUUUUAGGCUUUCUAAGCAUUCUAAAGUCUAUAAAUACCCAUUAGAAGAAGACAUAAGGGGGAAAUCAGAGAAGAUUAGAGAAAACACUCGAAGAACACCAUCGGAAUCAACUCGAAAGUGAAUCUCCAUUAAGAUCAAAGAUCUCAUUUUAAUUUCUUUCAAAGUUUUAUUGAGUUUCUUUAUAUAUUGUGGUUAUUCUGACUUUGAGAUGUUUCUAUUCAGGAUUAUGAACUAAAUUCCCUAGAUACCUAGGGAAGAUGAAAUCUAUGAUGAAUACUUGAUUCUUGUUCUCAAUUAUGUAUUCUUAUUUCUUAUUUUAUUAUUUCUGGGAUAUUAAUUCAUGUUUAAUGUUCUUAUUUCAGUGGAUGAAAAGUCCCUAUUUAAGAGUAGAUCUAGCAUAAUUGAGUGGAGUUGCAUGCAAUCCUAGAAAUAAAACGACUUAAAUUUACCGGAUUAGAGUCAAAUCUAAUAAAGGAAUCCAUAGAUCGAGUUAAUGCAAUGAUAGGGGUUUUAAUUUGAAGGAGAUUUCAAAUAAUCAAACUAGAGUUAGUUGUUCUUACUUUCGAAAGAGAUAUUAACAUAAUUUAGGGAUUUCUAUGGAUUAAGGCUUAAGUGAAUAAAUCGUUUAAUUUAGAUUCAUAAUAAAAGGUGAAGUCUAGGUGCAUUCUUUCCUGGGUAUUGUCUAUCUCGUUGGUUAAUAUUCGGUUAUUUCCUCGAUUCAUUCUCUACUGCGUUCUUAGAUAAAUUAGUUUAGUAAUUUUAGAUUAAAACACAAUCACUCUGAUUUUUUGGUUAAAUAAUAAGAAGAAGGAAAUUACUAGUACUUUUAGUCCUCGUGGAUACAAUAUUCUCUACUCACCAUAGCUAUACUAUUGUUCGAUAUGUGCACUUGCCUUUUUCGUAUUUAUAGUUAGUUUAGUGAUCAUCAAGUUUUUUUGGCAUCGUUGCCAAGGACUAAAAUAUUAAGAACACUUGAUUUUUAAUAAUUUAGUGAUUUAUUUUUAUUUUAUUUUAUUUUUGUUUUUAGUUUAGUUUUUACAUUCUAAUUUUUCUUUUAUUUUCUUCUUGAAGGUUCUUUUAGUUUAUGAUUAGAAGAAACUUGUCAGGACCAUUACUAUUUGAUAGUGAAAUUGAAAGUACUAAUCGCAGAAACCGUAGAGACGCAAGGUAGAGUCGAGAAAAUUUAGUAGACGAAAAAGAGGAAAUUAUUAUUACUGUAGAGAUGAGUGGUAACCAUAAUAAUCAGCUACCUCCUGCAGUUGUUGCAAAUCCAGACCCUGUUUAUUGUACUAUGUACGAUUAUGCCAAGCCUACUCUGACUGGGGUUGAAUCGAGUAUUGUGAGAGCCACCAUUACUGCAAAUAAUUUUAAGCUGAAGCCGAACACUCUUCAGAUGAUACAACGGUUUGUUCAGUUCGAUGGUUUGUAAGACGAAGAUCCAAACACUCAUUUGACUAAUCUCUUGAAAAUCUGCAAUACUUUCAAGAUUAAUGGAGCCACUGAUGAUGCCAUUCGGUUACGGUUAUUCUCUUUCUCGUUGAGAAACAAAGCUAAGCAGUGGUUGAAAUCUUGACCACAAGGUUCCAUUACUACAUGGGUUCAAAUGACCAAGAAGUUCCUUCUAAAGUACUUCCCACUGGAUAAGACAACCAAGUUAACGAAUGAUAUAUUCUCUUUUGUGCAUAUCGAUUUAGAAACGUUAUAUGAUGCAUGAGAGGGGUAUAAGGACUUAUUGAGACGGUGCCCUCACCAUGGGUUACGUUUAUAGUUACGGGUUCAAACCUUUUACAACGGUUUGAAUCCCUCAACUAGAUAGUUGAUCGAUGCAGCAGCCGAUCGAACUCUUAAUAAUAAAACACCUGAAGCGACUUAUGAAUUUAUUGAGGAGAUGGCAUUGAAUAAUUAUUUGUGGCAAGUCAUGAGGACGAAAGCAGCCAAUGUUUUUAACUAAGAUGCGGUCACCAUGUUAUCGAAUCAAGUAGAACUAUUAAAUAUAAAAAUUAAUGGAGGUGGAAUUAAUACUCCAGAAUAGUUACCCUUUGGUUCUAGCAUGAAGAAUGAGCAAAUAAAUUAUAUGGGUAAUGAUUCUAGACCUCAAAAUAACCCUUAUAAUAAUAACUAUAAUGCAGAUUAGAGGAACCACCCAAAUUUCUCAUGGGGUAGUCAAGGAAACUAAAGAUCACAACCUUUUUCGGGAUUUCAACAACCCUAUCAGCAAAAGAAGAAACUAAACCUUGAAGAGAUGUUAGCAAAAUUUCUUUCGGUGUCAAAGACCCAUCUUCAAAACACCGAGACGACUUUGAAAAUCAACAAGUGUCAAUUCAUGGGCUCGAAAAUCAGAUUGGAUAGCUAGCUAAAUUAGUUUCAUAACGGCAGCAAGGUAGUCUGCAUAGUAACACCGAACCCAACCCAAAAGAGUAUGUGAAAGCAGUUACAUUAAGGAAUGGGCAAGUGUUGGCUGAAACCGAAAAGAAGCUACAACAGGAACCUAAUAAGGCAAAUGGAGGGGGUAAAACCCGAAGAAAUUCAAACACCGGUGCUUAAAGAAUAUAAAACUCCGAUCCCAUAUCCAAAAAAGUUAAAGGAAGACUGCAUGGAUGAACAAUUUGGUAAAUUUCUUGAAUUUUUCAAACAAUUGCAUAUUAACUUACCUUUUGUUGAAGUUAUCUUGUAAAUGCCCACAUACGCAAAAUUUUUAAAGGAGCUAUUAACAAAUAAAAAAAAGUUUGAAGAGCUAUCCACUGUGGAACUCAACGAGGAAUGUUCGGUUAUUCUCCAAAAUAAACUGCCAACUAAGCUGAAACAUCCAGGAAGUUUUACUAUUCCUUAUUUUAUUGGUAGUUUAAACAUUGAGAAAGCAUUAGCUGAUUUGGGUGCUAGCAUUAAUUUGAUGCCUUAUAAAAUGUUCAAGCAACUUGGUCUUGGGGAACCAAAAUCCACUAGGGUGAGUAUUCAAUUGGCUGAUAGACCUGUUAAAUAUCCUAGGGGUAUUAUUAAAGAUGUACUUGUAAAAUUAGAUAAAUUCAUAUUCCCUGUUGAUUUUGUUGUGCUUGACAUGGAUGAGGAUGUUGAGGUGCCUCUAAUUUUGGGUCGCCCCUUUUUAGCUACUGCUAGGGCUAUCAUUGAUGUGGGUGAUGGUAAACUUGUGCUUAGGGUAGGUGAUGAGGAGAUUUUUUUUAAAAAAAAUCUAUGAUUUAUGUGAUUCUCUAGAAAAAGAAGAUGAUUCUUAUUAUUUUAUUGACUCUAUUGAUCAUGUUAUUCAAGAUUUAUUACAGGAAAUUGUUCAUAGGGACACGUUGGAACUGUGUCUUGUUCAAGAAGAGGAGGUAGAUGGAGAUAAUGCUGUAAUAAGUAAGACAAAAAUUGAUUUAGACUCUAAUGAGUCUUCACUGAGACAGAUAAAUUAUGAGGACAUUGAGGUAAGCAAUGAAUUAAAAUUCAAACCUUUAUUGAAGAACCUCCCAAAUUGGAAUUGAAUCAAUUACCAAAUCACCUAGAAUAUGCAUUUCUUGGAGACAAUUCUACAUUACCGGUGAGUAUUGCUUCAUAUUUACAGCCAAAUAAGAAAGAUGAGUUAUUACAAGUGCUGAAGGAACAUAAAAAAGCUAUAGCUCGGAAGAUUUCUGACAUUAGAGGAAUCAAUCCUUCUUUUUGCACCCAUAAAAUUUUAAUGGAAGAUGAGUACAAACCAUGUGUGCAAGCUCAAGUAAGGUUAAAUCCUAACAUGAAGGAAGUUGUUAAGGCUGAGGUAAUUAAACUUCUAGAUGCUGGAGUUAUUUAUCCUAUUUAUGAUAGUACUUGGGUGAGUCCUGUGCAAGUUCUUCCUAAGAAAUGAGGCAUGACUGUUGUAGCCAACGACAAGAACAAGUUGAUUCCAACGAGAACAGUCACGGGAUGGAGAGUUUGUAUUGACUAUAGGAAGUUAAACGAUGCCACGAGGAAAGAUCAUUUUCCUCUACCAUUCAUAGAUCAAAUGUUAGAGAGUUUAUCUGGUCACAUGUAUUAUUGCUUCAUAGAUGGACUCUCUGGCUACUUUUAAAUUCUGAUAGCUCCCGAUGACUAAGAAAAAAUGACCUUAACAUGUCUAUAUAGUACGUUUGCUUAUCAAAGAAUGCCUUUUAGAUUGUGUAAUGCUCCUGCUACUUUUAAGUGUUGCAUGUUAGCCAUCUUUGAUGAACUUGUUAAAGACAUUAUAGAUGUAUUUAUGGAUGACUUCUCAGUAUUCAGUAAUUUUUUCCUUCUUUGUCUUAAAAAUUUAAAACGAGUUUUAAUGAGAUGUGAGGAAACAAAACUUGUACCUAAUUGGGAAAAAGUCAGUUCAUGGUUCGAGAAAAGAUUGUGUUGGGCCAUAAAAAUUCUAGUAAAGAGAUUGAAGUUGAUAGAGCGAAAAUUGAAACCAUUGAAAAAUUGCCUCCCCUUAGUUCAGUUAAGGCUAUUAGAAGCUUUUUAGGACAUGUUGGGUUCUAUAGAAGGUUUAUUAAAGUUUUUUCUAAAAUAGCUAAGCCUUUAACUAAUUUGCUAGAAAAAGAUGUGCCAUUCAAAUUUAGUCAGGAAUGUUAAAAGCAUUUAAUACUCUUAAGGGAAAGUUAAUUAAUGCCCUAAUUAUGGUUACACCUGAUUGGAAUUUUCCCUUUGAAAUAAUGUGUGAUACGAGUGAUUUUGCAGUAGGUGCAGUUCUUGGAUAGCGAAGAGACAAGCAUUUUCAGCCAAUUUAUUAUGCUAGCAAGACUUUGACAGAUGCAUAAGAAAAUUACACUACUACAGAAAAAGAAUUGCUAGCUGUAGUUUUUGCAUUCGAUAAAUAUAGACCAUACUUAAUAUUAUCUAAGGUUGUUAUUUACACUGAUCAUUUAGCUCUUCGCUAUCUUUUAACUAAAUCGGAUGCAAAACCUCAACUUAUAAAGUGGAUUCUAUUAUUGCAGGAGUUCGAUUUGAAAAUCCAGGAUAAUAAGGGAGCUGAAAAUCUUGCAGCAUAUCACCUUUCCAGAUUAGAAAAUCCACAUCUCAAGGAGCUUAAUGAGAAUGAGAUAAAUGACUUGUUUCCUGAGGAACAACUCUUGGUUAUAACUGAUUCUGGAUUCCCUUGGUUUAUGGAUAUCGGGAAUUACUUGGUUGCUAACAUCCUACCAAAAAGGUUGACACAUCAUCAAAAGAAGUGAUUCUUUGCCGAUGUGAAAAAUUAUUUUUGGGGAGACCCUUUUCAUUUUCGUGUAUGUGUAGAUCAAGUAAUUCAGAGUUGUGUUACAAAAUCAGAAGCGAGUAAGAUCUUGGAAUGCUAUCACUCAAGAUCGACACUGAAUCAGAUUUUUAUUGGCCCACACUGUUUAAGGAUGCUAACAGGUAUGUUACUUCUUGUGAUAUAUGCCAUAGAAUAGGUAAUAUUUCUAAACGUGAUGAAAAUGCCUCAAACUUAUAUGCUUUCAUAUGAAAUUUUUGACGUCUGGGGCAUUGACGUCAUGGGCCCAUUUCCUAGGUCUUUUGAUAAUAAAUACAUUCUGGUAGCAGUUGAUUAUAUGUCAAAAUGGGUAGAAGCCCAAGCUUUACCUACUAAUAAUGCUAGAGGGGUAGUUUGAUUUCUUAAGAAGUUCCUUUCUUGGUUUGGAACACCUAGAGCGAUUAUUAGUGAUAGGGGUACACAUUUUUGUAACACUCAAUUUGAUAAAGUCUUUAAGAAGUAUGGAGUGCAUCAUAGAACAACUACCCCUUAUCACCCUCAAACUAGUGGGCAAGUUGAAGUUGCGAAUCGUGAACUCAAACGCAUCUUAGAAAAAACUGUAGAGUCAAAUAGAAAGAAUUGGGCGUUAAAAGUGGAUGACACUUUAUGGGUUUGUAGGAUUGCAUAUAAAACACACAUAGGAACAUCUCCUUACAGACUUGUAUAUUAAAAGAGUUGUCAUUUUCCGCUUGAACUCAAGUACAAAGCAUUCUGGGCAAUAAAAUUUCUAAACUACGAUUUUAAACUUGUAGGUGAGAAGAGAUUGAUGCAGCUAAAUGAAUUAGACGAAUGGCGAGCUAAUGUUUAGGAGAACUUGAGACUAUAUAAAGAAGUGACAAAGUGACUCCACGAUGCUCGUUUGAAGUAGCCCAAACAAUUCACAGUGGGGGAUCUUGUCCUUUUAUACAAUUCAAAGCUCAAGUUGUUUCCCGAAAAGCUAAAAUCACGAUGGUCAGGUCCAUUCGUAGUACAAACCAUUUUCCCAUAUGGCACGAUAGAGGUAAUCCAUCCGGCAUAUAGCAAAUUCAAGGUAAAUAGACAUUGAAUCAAAGUUUAUAGUGGUGACGAUUUUAAAAAUGAAAGAGAAGAGCUUUGGCUCCGUGAACCAUCGUAAUCGUGUACAAAGGUAAAUCGAGCUUAGACUCUAAAUAACGCUUCUCGGGAGGCAACCCAAAUGACUAAUUUUUUUUACUUCUUUUAAUUCCAUUGCAUGAUUAUUUAAAAUAUUAAAUUAAAAAAAUAUGUUUUUGAUCCACACGGCUUGGACACACGGGCGUGUCCUUGGCCGUGCACAUCAGGGAGCAAUCGACAAUGAGUUACACGGCCUGAUGACAUGGCCAUGUGACCCACAUGGCCUGGAGACACAGGCGUGUCCUUGGCCGUGUGGAACCUAGGACUUAUUUUUAAAAAAAAGAAUUUGAUAGCCCUAGGCUGUGUGAAUCCUGAAGCUAAUUUUUUCAAUUUUAUUUCCAGUCAGAGAGUUACACAGGUAAGAGACACGACUAUGUGCGAGCGAGACCCGACCGAGCCAGUGUGGCCUCUCACACGGGUAUGGGAGAAGCGAAGGAGAUCACACACAGCUGUGCGACACGAUUGUGUGGCACACACGGCCUGGACACACGGGCGUGUCCGAGGCUGUGUGAAGACUGGGCUCAUAUUUUCAAGCGUACACGGGCUGGGAAGAUCCACACGGGCGUGUGGCCCAACACGAGCCUCACACGACCGUGUCACCCUUAAAGCCCUAACCCCUUUUUCCUUUUGUUUGUCUUCUUCUUCUCCCAAUAACAAACCUUAGCCGCCGCUCCUCAACAUCCCAAUGCCACCAACCGCCGUUCACCUCAUCCUUUUCGGCCACCAUUAUCGCCCCCAACUUUCACGUACAUCCCCUCACGCUAGCAAUCUCCCAUCUCGCAUCCCCGAACAACCACGAACCACACCUGAUCCCAGCCUCGCCGCAUGACCCUCCCAUUUUUCUCCCACCUCCUCUACC
rnacentral:lncRNA from 1 species